GAUUUAGACCCUAAAGGUGGCCUACAAGUGCCUUGGAGCCUAAGUGCCCAAACCAUAACAAAAAUGGGGGUCAAAACACGCUGAAACUGGAACUACCUAGUAGAAUCGGUUGAACUGGUUCCCAACUGGCUCAAUUGGUUGAGAAAAAAAAUCUGAAACUUUACCAGAAUAUUCCUCAGAGAAUAAGGAAUCCAACAAAAUAAACGACACUCAAUUCCAAGCCCGGAUGAGGGAGAACCGACCAAAACAAUGCAAAGCAUUUAUAAAACAGGGCUGCCACCAAGCCACCUGUUGAACCGAUUCCCAACUGGUUCAUCCGAUUGAGAAAAAAUUUGAAACUUUACCAAAAUAUUCCUUAGAGAAUAAGGAAUCCAACAAAACAAAUAGCACUCAAUUCUGAGCCCGGAUGAGAGAGAACCGGUUGAAACAAUGCGAUGUUUUCCAUAAAAGGCCAAACCCGAGCCACCCAAAAUGCAUUGUUUUCUUUAAAAUUCGCCACUUAAGCCAAUGCUUUAGUAGAUGCAAUUUUUCCAUAAGCUUUUAGCAUGCAUGCCUAAAAGGGCAAGGCCACAAAUGAAAGGGCCUACUUCCCAAACAAAUUAACCGUAUUUCUUACAAUCAAAGGAAAUGAACCAUGUCCCCUCCCUUGCCAAAUCUAGGACCAAUGAGGCCCCAGUGGCUGAAUGAUGAGCACAGUGGCUUAACCAAUAUGCCAUAACCUCUAAUCCUAAUUGAAAAACUGAAAUGGUCUACCCCAAAUUCCAAACAAAACAGUCUAAAGAGACUUUUUAUCAAAUCAAAACUAAAGGGAAUGGUUCCCUAAACUAAAGGUACAAGCCCCUUUUUGGUAUUUUGGAACCUAGCAUGAAAGCCCAAUGGCAACCCCAAAAAAAAAAAAAAUUUGAUUGCACUUCCAAACCUGAAACCAAUAACGCAGCAAGGACCUUCCUUGAAUGCCACAAGCAUAAUGCAAAUUUCCACCCUCACUAUGCAACCAAACAAUGGAGUUCUUACCCCAAACAUACAUGCAACCAAGAUCCUAAAGAAUACCAUUUAAUGAGCACAAAAGCCUUGCCUUCAUAAGCAAUCAGAUAUGACCAAAGCUUUAAACAGUUGCCUUAUAAGCCAUUAGGACUAUUAAUUCACUUUCCACAUUCAAGCUUAAAACAAACGAAUGCAUCAAAUAGUUAACCAAUGCCCUCUUUUUAUUUGCAAACUACUAAGGUCAAGGCCUUAGGGGCCAAUAAAAAAAACUAAACUUGGACAACCUUUGAAACCUAAUCAAAGAUCAGUUAGCCAAGAAAACCACACACAAGUAACAUUAGAAGAAAAUAAUAGCAGAAAAAAAGAAAUAAAAAAAAAAUAAAAGAAAAAACAGAGGAUCUCUAGUAGCAACCAAAUCACACAAGAGACCAGUUUAAUUCUAAAACCCAGAACCUUACCCACAAAUGGGCACCAAAACCCCAAAGGUCCUCUAGAUGCAAUGACAAGGGGAACCACAAAGGCCUUAUGAAGGAAGCAAAACAAACCUAAAUUGGGGGCUAAGGAACCCUCAUUCCAAACUUGAAUCCGAGCACCAGAGACCUUUGCUUACUCAAAGCAAAUCAAAGCUGGUUGCUAAUGAGAGAAAUACUUGCUUUGUUCACAAAACAAAUCACACCAUACAUGGGAGCUUAGGCAUGCAAUAACGAAAAUGCAAGGAUCCUAGCCUUAUCUUUCAUAUACCUUCAAUGACCAUUUCGAAUGCUAAAAAAAUAACAGACUCACUCUCGGUUGAAUCAGACAUGCAUAGUCUUAGACAACUUACAAACUUGACCAAAGACUAAUCAGCAAAGACCCUCAUUUUCUUGUCUAAACAGAUUAUUGCAACAAACCUCAGAAAGAAUGAAAAUAUAAAAUAGCAGAAAGCAGGAUCAAAGAGUUACCUAUGCAUGCGUUGAAGAUGCUGAGGUAGAAAUGAAGUCACUGGGGUAGCAAACGUCCAAGUUCCGCUUCCAGAAAUCAAGGCCUUCCCCUUCAACAACAUGAACAAGAAACUACUCCCUCUACAACCAGAAAAUCUCUCAAAACCUCCGUCUCCUUCACUCUUUCCUCUGUUUCUUUUUUCUAUUUUUUUUUCCUCUCUUCUUUCUUUUCCUUUAUCUCCCAACACACAAAAUUUUCUCAGGUCUAGAACUCUUCCCCCACACUCUUUUUUUUUUUUUUAAGCUCUCACCCUCUUCUCCUUUGGCUUUCACUUUUUUGACAAAGUUUCCUCCUAGAAUCCAGAGAGAGGUCCUCAUCUUCUUCCCUCUUUUGGAUUUUAUAUUAGACCCCUUUGUUCCUCCAGCUUCCAUUCAUUUUCCCAUGCAUUCAGCUCUGGAAAACAACCCUUCAACCUCGAAACCACACUCCCCAAUAACUCUCCUCACCAAUUCUCCAUGCAAGCUGACUCUUUUAAGUUUUUAGCUUGCUUCACCACCAAGGAUCCAUAUGGAUUCAUGGUGGGCUGCAAGAAACCCAAACCAAGGCCCAAAAUGGACCCACAAUAUAGCCCAAGACCGAUUUGGAGCUUAUGGGCCCAAGUCAUGUAGGAAUUGGGCUUCAAAAUCAUCAAAACUAGUGCUCCAUACAAGCUAGCUCGAUGAACCGGUUAAACUGGACGCCAACCGGUCGAACCGGUUGAGAAAAAUUAUGAAAUUUUGAAAAAAAAUUUCUGAAGAAUAAGGAGUCCAUGAAAAAAAAUGGUGCAUGAUUCUGAGGUUGGAUGAGGGAGAUAUGGCCAAAACAAGCCCGAGUGCUCCGAAUUCGAACUUGCUCCCAUGCAUUCUGCCAAAACUGAAACUUUGGGGACUGGUCGAGUCGGUUGAGAAAAAUUAUGAAAUUUUGAUAGAAUUUUUCCUAAAGAAUAAGGAGUCCAUGAAAAAAAACGGUACACAAUUCUGAGGUCGAAUGAGAGAGAUAUGGCCAAAACAAGCCUAAGUGCUCUGAAUUCAAACUUGCUCCCAUGAAUUCUGCCAAAACUGAAACUUUGGGGACCGGUCGAUCCGGUUGAGAAAAAUUAUGAAAUUUUGAUAUAAUUUUUCUUGAAGAAUAAGGAGUCCAUGAAAAAAAACGGUGCACAAUUUUGAGUUCGGAUGAGGGAGAUAUGGCUAAAACAGGCCUAAGUGCUCCGAAUUUAGACUUGCUCCCAUGCAUUCUGCCUAAACUGAAACUUUGGGGACCGGUCUAGCUCGAUGAACCGGUUAAACCGGACGCCAACCGGUCGAACCGGUUGAGAAAAAUUAUGAAAUUUUGAAAAAAAAUUUCUGAAGAAUAAGGAGUCCAUGAAAAAAAAUGGUGCAUGAUUCUGAGGUUGGAUGAGGGAGAUAUGGCCAAAACAAGCCCGAGUGCUCCGAAUUCGAACUUGCUCCCAUGCAUUCUGCCAAAACUGAAACUUUGGGGACUGGUAGAAUUUUUCCUAAAGAAUAAGGAGUCCAUGAAAAAAAACGGUACACAAUUCUGAUGUCGAAUGAGAGAGAUAUGGCCAAAACAAGCCUAAGUGCUCUGAAUUCAAACUUGCUCCCAUGAAUUCUGCCAAAUUAAGAUAAGUGUUCAUUAAAUCUAAAAUUCACAAAUAUUUUUCUUCAAAAGAUUGAUAUUUCUUUAAAAAAAAAAAAAAAAAAAUCUGUUAAUAAAAAAAAGGUAUUAUUUUCCAAAUUGAAAAUGAGAUUCUAGAUUUAAAUAAAUGAUAUUGGAUAAAAAUGGAAUGAACGUUUUUUUCUCUUUAGAAAUAGUUGCUGAAUAUAAUAAAACCUAAAAAAGAGUUGGGAUAUAAGGAACCGCCAUAUCUUCAACUGAAUUAGUCCGUUAAUCUUUUGGGCCCAGCCCAGGAAACAACUAUAUGCCAACCGAAAAAUCUCAACCAACGGCUAGUUUUGUAAUUUCAAAUAGGAUCUUUCCCAAAAAAGAAGUAAGAUUUCUUAUGGAAUAGGUGAUAAAGAAACAAUAAUGACAUCCAUCCACAUCAAUUAAAGACAAUGAUCAUUUUUUUUUUCUUUUUUAACCUGACCAUCCAAUGGAUAUAAAAAUACAAAAAUGAAUUUUCUAAUAGAAUAAGCAUUUAACAAAAAAUAAAAAAUAAAAAAAUUACAUGAAUGAACAAGUGACUUAAGAGUCUGAUUGUCUCGAAUACUUGGAGAGUUUUACAUGAAGGGUUGGAUCUUUCUUCUUCUUCUUCUUGAAAUGUUUUGAGGCCGCUUUCAGCACCUUGCUCCAUCCCUGUUACAUUAAUUUCACUAUAAUUUAAUAAAAUCCAAAAAAGGAAAAAAAAAAUUGUUGAUGACAUUAUAGAUUCCCCUUUAGAGGUGGCUUCUUUUCCCCAAAUUUUCCCAUAAAUUCCAAGCUUUUUCCAUGUGAGACAAAGAAUGAGGAAAGGGCCCUCUUUCAACAUUUUCUUUCCCCCUUUUCUCCUUAUCCAAACAGAUCCAACACGGAGGCCAAUUUUCCCUAUUGGUUUCCCAGUUUCCUCAAAUGGGUAUAUCCAUUUGAGCUUCAACAACCCAAAAAUGGCUGGAAAAUUUUUCAAAAAAAUAAAAACAAAAAUGGAAAAUAAAAGAGUGGUUACCUUUGUGGAAGGAGGAGUGGGAGAGAAGUGAUCAGGGGGCUUGAUGAAACUCCUCCUCCUCUUCUUCUGCUUCUUCUUAAACAUAGUGAAGAUGUUGUUCUUAAGAUUAGCGGUGACCUUCUUGAGAGUGGUUUUAUCCAAACCCAACCUGUAAGACAACUUCGGAGGUGGCGUUCCCAAAUCCCAGUCCAAAGCAAGAGAUUUUUGAGGGCGAGGCACCAAUGGAGACCAGAUUGAGCUCUGUGAGUAGUCAAAAUCAAAGGCAGAGGUGUCUGGGAAUUUGCCGAGAAGCUCUUCGCACAUGGAUGAUUCCACAUACUCCACCACUUUUAUCAGCCUCCCUUCUUCUUCUUCCUCUUCUUCUUCUGGUACUGCUACUGCUACUGCUACUGCUAAUGCUGAAGACAUUGAGGAAUUGUUUUCUGUGAAUAAAGAAGCUCAAUCACUUUGCCGUUUUUUUCUUUUCAGUUGCUUCGAUUUCUGUAAGGAAAAGUGGAGAAGAUGAUUGUAUAGGAUGAAUGUGGGAAAAAGUUACCGUUGCAAAAGUCUAUUGCUUCCAAAAGGCCUUGUCUUUUCCUCUUCCCGUUUUGCCCUUCACUUGUUUUCGUUACUCUGUCUUGGUGGUCAGAUAGGGCCCAAGGGCUUCAAAGGUAAUUUCAAGGUAACGGUCCGGUUCUGUCCUACUCUUAACGUGACAUCCGUUGCCGUGGAUGUUGAAAUUUAUUAUUGUUUUUCCAAUUACAAUUGUUCAAUUUAAUGAUCGUUUGAUUAGAAUUUUAGAAGAAAGAUAACAAUUUUUAGGGUACCCAACAAAGAACAAAAUUCAUGGAUACUUUUGUAGUACCAAACGAUAAUUUAUAGGUACCGUAUCCAAAAAUCACCACCACUCAGAUUCUAGCUUUUUCUUUAUAUACAUAUUCGAUAAUUAAGAUAAGAAAUUAGAUGGGUUGAUACUUAGGGCCUUAACAUUCCCAACUUUUAUACUUUGUUUUAGUUAGAAAAAAUAUUGUUAAGAAAAAUAAUGUUUUUAUAUAUGAUAUAUUAUGAAAUUUGUAUAAAAUGAAAAAUAAAUCAAAUAAGUUUGAAAAAAUAUGUAUAAAAAUAAUUUAUUAAUUUGUUUGAUUCCAACAAAAGAGAUAAAUUAUUAAGAAAAAUAAUUUUCUUAUUUCAAAGAAAUAAAAAAAAAUAGUUUAUUAAAUUUAUAUUAUUUAAUCUUUAUAUAAAAGAAAAUGAGUUUAAAGAAGUACAUAAGAAUAAUUUACCAACUUUAAAUCUUUUUUUUUUCCUUUCAUUUUCUUUUCUUUUCCAUUUCUAUUUUGUUUCUUUAGCAUUUUUCCACAAAUGUUCCAACAACUAAGUAUAAUUUUUUUUUAAAAAAAAGAAAUUGUUAUAUUUCUAUUUUUCUUUAAAAAAAAAUGUUUUCUCAUAAUUUUUUCUCUAAUUUUCAAAAUCCAUGUAUUGGGUUAAUUCUUCUUUCCAAACAUAAAUGUGAGAUUAUUUAAUAUCUUGUACUUAAGUUAAAAAAUAUGUACUUAACUUUAAUUAAGAAUUAUGUAAGAAAAUAAUUAUGCUUCAAAUAUUUUCGCAUUUUGAUUUGUUACAUGGCAUGUAAACCAUUUAAAAAUAAAACAAAAGAUAGAAAGAUUCAAUCAUCUCCCAAAAAAGAUGAGUCAAAGCAAAUGGUUAAUUAGUUUUAGGCUUUCAACUAACUCUAGUUACAUCCAUGUCUAUGUAUAAAACUCAAGAAGACUAGAAGUUAACUGAGUUGUUGUUACUAAUACAAAGAAAGCUCUUUGUAAUUAUUUUUCUUAGUUCAUCAAUCAAACAUGGUAUUAGAGCCAGAACGACUUACGUCUAUGGCUUAAGUUGCUGCAAUGAAUACCAAUCUCUCUUCAUCAAGCAUCUCCUGCACAAGUGGAACAACAUUGAUGGUGGUCCCCUCACUGAUGUUCUCAUCUACCAUUCCUCAACUAUCUUUGAAACUCACAAGAACAACUAUGGAUUCUAGCGUUCACAAAUUCUUCCAACUGUUCGAGCUCUUGAUCUUUAAAGAUAUUUGCUUGGAACAACGGUGUGUCUCUUUUGUUUCAUUUCAAAUGGAGAUGAUAAUUCUUCAAUAAUCAACUCAGAAUUUUUAAUCUGGAACAAAACAGACUAGUUCAUCAUGAGUUGGAUUUUUUAUUCUCUUUUAGAGUCGAUGUUUGGCCAUAUUGUUUGAUGAAAAAUUGUUACUGAAGAGUGGAGUACUUUCAAUUGAUUGUUUUUCAUCAACUCCAAGUUUCAGGUGCAACAUCUUCAAAAAUAAAUUGUAAGAAGUUUCAAAAGGCUCCCUGAGUAUUAUUGAUUAUUUUUUGCAAAUGAAAGAAAUUGCAGAUACUUUAUAAUUGUAUCUAAUAAAUUCAUCGAUGAUGAAUUGUUGAUGCACAUUUUUGGUGGUUUAAAUCAUGAAUUUGAUGUUAUAAUUGUCAAUCUUUAGUCAAGGAAAGAUUAUGUUUCUCUUGAAGAAGCUUAAUUCCUCCUUCAAAAACUUAACUCUGUUUCAAAUAUCCAUAUUGGUCCCUCUGCAAGUUUUGCUGCCAAACAAGGCCACAAAAUAAACAAUUAUCAAUUCUCUAAGGCUCCUAACAAUAGUUCUUUUCAUGGUGGUUGUGGUGGUCCAAGAAGAGAAAGCCAAAAUAAGCCUAUCUGUCAGUUAUGUGACAAAGUUGGUCAUAUUGCACUGAAAUGUUAUCAUCAUUUCAACAUUAGCUUCAAAAGACCACAACAAUAACCACAAUAUGAAAAUUAUGCUUCGCCACAAGGCACUCAUUUAAAGACAAUGCUCGAGCUUACUUUGCCAUGUUAGCCAUUGUUAAUGACCAUAAUUGGUACAUGGAUAUAGGAGCCACAAAUCACAUUACUGGUGAUCUCAAUAAAUUGACUCUCAAGAUAGGCUACAAAAAUAAGGAAAAACUUGUUGGAAAUGGUAAUUCUCUAAAGAUUUGUCAUAUUGGUUCUUCAACUAUAUCAUCUAAUUUUUCAUCACAACCAUUAUAUCUUCAUGAUAUCUUAAUGUGCCUACAAUUAUAAAAAAAUUAUUAAGCAUAUCUAAAUUCACCAAGGACAACAUUGUUGUUGAAUUUUAUGAUGAUUGUUGUCUUGUUAAGGACAAGAACACGAGGAAGAUUUUGAUGCAGGGCAACCUUAAAAGAGGGCUUUAUCAACUUGAUGUUCUAGUGCUCUUAGGAAGUUUAAAAUUUGUCUCAAAUUUUGGUUCUAGUUUUCCUUCAAUUUCUCUAGCACAAGUCAAAUCUAAUGAGGCUUGUAUUCAAAUUGUGAACACUUAGCAUAGCAUGCUUAGUCAUCCUCAUGCUCAAGUGUUAGCACGGGGAUGCUCAAGUGUCUUUAAGAACUGAGUACCUUUAAUUCUAUGAUGUCUGUCAAUAUGGAAAAGCUUGUCAGUAUAGGGACCUUCACCUAUUUUUUCUAUAGAAGGCUAUCAAUAUUACAUUCACUUUCUGGAUGAUUUUACUCACUAUGCAUGGAUAUUUCCAUUAAUGAAGUUAAAAUAUAAAACCAAAGGUAUUUUUCUACAAUUUCAAAUCUUGGUAGAAAGACAAUUCAAUAGAAAAUUAAAAUGUCUUCAAACUGAUUAAGAAGGUGAAUAUAGGCCUUUUUUUGCCUAUUCUAGCUCAACAAGGUGUAGUUUUCAAACAUCCAUGUCCUCAUACUCAUUAGAAAAAUGGAAGAGCAAAAUUAAAACAUAGACAUAUAGUUUAGCCUGGAUGAACACUCUUGGCACAAGCACACAUGCGUCUAUAUUUUUGGUAGGAUGUUUUUGUGAUUGUAGUGUUUUUUAUCAAUAGAUUACCUACCCAAGUUCUUAAUUAUACUUCUCAUUUUCAAUCUCUUUAUCACAGAAAACCAAAUUAUAAGGUUCUAAGGGUUUUUGGUUGUGUUUGCUUUCCUUAUCUAAGGCCCUAUAAUAAACACAAGUUUGCCUUUCAUACAACCAAGUGUGUCUUCCUUGGUUAUAACUUGGUGCAUAAAGGGUUUUGUUGUCUGAGUUCUCCAGGUUAGAUUUACACAACCAUGAGUGUCUUAUUUGAUGAAGAGCGUUUCCCUUUUGCUAUUGGUUUUCAAGUUAAAAGGUCUAGUGCUUCUAAUUUUGUUUUUGUUGCCACUAAUGAAACCAAUAUCUUUGGUAUGUGGCAUGUUCCCUCACCAAAUGAUUUUUUAACUUCUACUACAUCUAUUUUACCUUAAACAAUAGUUUCAUCAUCAUCUUUGGCUAGCGCACUUGUUGAAAAUAGAGCAUUACAACUUGUUGAAACUAAUACUGUUGAGGAUCCCAAUAUAUUACAAUAUGAGAAUCAAGUUAAUAAUGAGAAUCAAACUAUUAAGUCUAAUUCUUCAUCUAUUUAGAAUACUCAUCCCAUGCAAACUAGAUCCAAGUCUAGAAUUUUCAAACCAAAGGUCUUCUUUGCCAAACAGAAAAUAAAUACUUUAGUUACUGGACCUUUAAGUGUGGAAUAAGCUCUAUUGGAUCCAAAUUGGAAAAAGACAAUGGAUGAUGAGUAUAAUGCCCUUUUAUCAAAUAAUGCAUGGAGCUUAAUACCUUAUACAAAUGACAUAAAACUUGUGGACAAAAAAUGGAUUUUUUAAGUAAAAUAUAAUCCUAAUGGUUCUAUACAAAGAUAUAAGGCCCAACUUAUUGCUAAGAGUUUUCAACAAAUAGCAGGGCUUGAUUACUUUGAUACUUUUAGUCUUGUUAUCAAGUGAUCAACCAUUCUUGUAGUGCCUACUAUUGUUGUUACAAAAGGUUGGGAUAUUCAACAGAUUGAUAUUAGCAAUGCAUUUUUAAAUGGAGACCUAUAAGAAAUUGUAUACAUGUUUCAACCAAUUGGUUUUAUUGAUCAACAUGCUUCAUACCAUGUUUGCAAGCUACACAAGGGCUUAUAUGGUCUAAAACAAGUGCCAAGGGCUUAAUUUAACAAGCUUAAAACUGUUAUAUUGCAUUGGGGUUCUGAAAACUCAAAAUCUGAUACCAGUCUCUUCAUACUUAUCUGCAAGCAAAAUACCACUCUUGUUGGUCUAACCAAUGAUGAUAUUGAUUUGAUUUAGCAAGUAAUGAAGGAUUUACAUGAGAAGUUUGCAAUUAAGACUUUAAGUUUCAUGAAUUAUUUUCUUAGAUUUGAGACAUACAGAAAUCAAUCUGGUCUUUACUUAACCCAAACAAAAUAUACUUUGGAUAUUUUGGAGAAAGCUAAGAUGGCAAGAGUUAAUCCAAAUUCAACACCUUUUUUCAGUUGGGGUUAAUAAUUGCUUGGUUUUUCAUCGUUUAUUGGAUCAAAACAAAAUUUAUAACCUAAUUCACUAUUCUAGAGUAGCUUGUACCUGAUCAAAAAGUGGUUUUUGUACAAACUACUAUAGUAUAAUGGUUUUUAGGUGUCGUCCACUAGGAUGGAUUAUUCUCGGUAAUUAAGGCUUGAAUAAGAGGAUAAGAAAUGAUUGUGAUCAAGUGAAAUUGAUUUAAAAAUUCAUAGUGAAAAAUUAAUGUAACAAUGGUCUCAAAUUGAAAAGAAAAAUGAAAUGCAAAAUAGAAGAAAAUUAAUAGGAGAUGAAAUUCUUGGAGUUAGGAUUUUCUAGAAAAUAAUUUCCAUGGUGAAUAGAUGUUGAGAUUUAAUUUUCAUCAAGUUAGAUUGAAAACCUAAAUUUUCAUCUAAACCAAUUUUUGAUUUAGCUUUAGGUCUAGAUCUAAUUUCUCUUCAAAUUAGGUCAUUUAAUCCAAGAGAUCAAUUCAAUUCAUCUUAAAUUAUCUUCCAAUGAUUCACACAAUGCAACUAUUCAAUAUCAUCAAAUCCAGCUUUAAGAAUUUAAUGAAUCUAUCUAGUUUGCAUUGUAGAAGUCAUCCAAGACAAUUUGAAGAGAAAAAUCCUCAAAAUUCAAUUAAUCAAUCAAUUGGAUCAAAUCACAUUUGCAAUUCAAGCUCAUUUCUCUAAUUCACCAUAGAUCUUGCCUUUAGAUCCUCAUUCCUCUGAGAAAAAUGAGAUUUAGCCACUCAUGCUUGGAGAUUUGGUCUCACAAGACAUGUGUUGGCUAGUAAGAAAAUGAAAGAAAAUGAAGGAAAUUAAAGAAUUCUCUAGAGAGAUAAAAUCUGAAAAAUUCUACAAAUUAGAAAUAUCUAAAAAGCUCCUCAAAUGAGAAAAUCAAGUUUCUAUUUAUAGGCCAAGGUUAAGUGGACACUUGGCAUCAUCUAAGAGGUCUCCCGGAGGCUUCUUCACCAAGAAAUCUGGAGUUUAGUAAUAAAAUGGUCAUUUAACAAGAGAUUUAGCAAUGUCACACAAGAUCUAGCAAUUUCGCACGAGAUCUAGCAAUUUCGCAUGAGAGCCAACAAUUUCGCAUGAUUGUGUGAAGUCAAAAAUACAUCAGCACCAAUUUUCGCAUGGUCAUGCGAAAUCAACUUUGAGAUUUCCCUUUGAUUUGUAGCAAAAAAUACCUUUUGGUCCAUUUCAUAUGACUGUGCGAAAUUUUCGCAUGGUCAUGCGAAAUGGAAAUACAUAAUUUUUCAACUUUUUUUUGUCAUUUCUUCCAUUUCUUUCUUUUGAAUCCACUUCAAUCACCUCCAAAUCAAUUCCAAAUCCCAGUCCAAACUAAUUACAUUACUUUUGUCAUUAUGCAUUUGGAUCUUCAUCAACUUUAUUUAUUCUCUUCAAUUUGAUUGAUCUCUUUUGUCACCAAUUUAUCGAAAUCAUACCUUGAAAUGAGUCCAAAACUUCAUAAAACUUGUUAGUAACUCUUGCAAGGGCAAUAACAUGUUAAUUGAGUGUUUUAGGCAUAAUUAUUACUCAAAAGAUGUGAAACUCAUGAAAAUUAUUAUCUAAGAUAUGCUCUUUUGAGUAGUAAUCAUUCUCCCCAACCAACGCAUUGCUAGUCCCUUAGUAAUGGUAUGACAAAAAGGAAGAAAAACAAUACCAAACAAAAGAAAUCAUAAGUCACAUAAGCAAAUCAUUUGAAAAAAAAAAUCUUUAAAAUUUCCAUAGCAUAAAUGAUUGAUAAACAAGCACACCCUACUAUCCAUAGGUAUCAACAAAAUCCCAACUUAUUUACUAUCUCUAAUAGAAAGAAUAUCAUGCAAAUCAAGGUAUCAAAAACAUAUCCAUCUUCAUUCCCCAAACAAUUUUUCCAAACAAGUCUUGAGUGUAAUUAAGCUAGCCCUCGAAUAUAGUACUCAAAACUAAUCCUCCCCCCAACCAAUCUCAAUUUAUCUCAAACAACAAAAAUCACUCUCUCAUAGGUUAAGAACGCACUUAUAUUUAUUUUAUUAUUAUUAUUUUUUUCAAAGGACUUAUUGUAGGAGUGUUAUGCUAAAGGUAUCUCCAAGUAUAUGGUCCAUGUAGCGGGGAUUCAUUAAUGACUCCCAACCAUAAUGCAUAGGGCACCAAGUUUAUAAGACUAUUUAACUAGCCAUUAACUCCUCGGACUUCACCUCGGACUCCUCAAAUUAGGAUCCAAUACCUUAGCACCUACAAUUGAACUCAUACUCCACCUAUUCACCCAUGUAACGAGCAUUGAGGUCGGUGGCUCCCAACCAAAAUGGCUUAGGGCACUGGGCUUCAAAGACCUUUGGGUCAUAUACCCCUCGGACCUUGCUCAGGUUUCAAGGCAAGCAUAACUCAACCUUUUUAUUCAUCAACUUUUUUUUUUCAAAUUAGGCACAUUGGCUUCUUUUUAAGGUGUCUCAACUCAAUUAAAGAGUAAUCAAUGUUACAAGAUAAUUAAGUCCAAGUCUUAAGGUUAGACUAGUUUUUCAUCUUAUAUUUGGGGUCUAGAGUGCACAAUAUGUGUUAAAACUCAAAUCGAAAUGACCCUUUGGAAAAUAAAGACUUCAAAGUCAAAUCAACUUUAAUUUACAUAACAAAUUUUUUAAGAUCAAGCAAAUAAGCUAGUAUUCUAAAUCAACUUUUUCAAGUUAGGUUUGAAUCAUCUAAAAAAAAAAAUUCAUCAAAUAAGUCACAAAUGUGAUUUAUGAAAAAAAAAUCUAAAAAAACUAACAAAACUAACAACAUAUUUCCUUCUCUUACUUUCUAACCCUUCCCCCAACCAAACAUGUACAUUGUCCUCAAUGUGUAAUGAAAAUAUACAAAGAAAGGAAGGGAAGAUACCUCAAUCUCUCAUGAAUUUCAGCUUCAAUAGCUAAAACAAAAAUAAAAUCACACAUGAGAAUUGUUGGAUAUGAAUGGCAUAAGAGAAGAAAAUAUGAAAACAAAUUUAUUAAAAACCAAAAAACUAUGUUAGAGACACAAUGUGUGGAGUAAAAUCAAGGUAUAGAUGAUGAUCAUGUCCAAAGAAAACAUGAUUUCAAUGAUAAGUCAAUGAUUCACAUGGAGUUUUUUAAAAUUUCUCACAAGUGUCUAAACUAGACAAGAAGGUGAAAUAUGUUGCAAUUACUCUCUUCUUUUAAAAGAAUUUGGCACAAUCAUGUGAAAAUUUGCAUGUACAUACGAAUUGGUCAAGAGAGUUCUAUCUUAUUAUUGCCUUUAGCAGAAUUUUUGCAUGGUCAUGCGAAAGUUUACAUAAUUAUGCGAAUUAGUCCAGAGGCUUAAAACUGUUGCAAUCAUCCACAUCAGUUUCGCACAGUCAUGCGAAAAUUUUGCAUGAUCAUGCGAAAUGAGACAUAGACUCAUUUUUUUGGAUUUUCAAAGCUAUAAAAACUCCCCUGUUUAUUGCAUGAAUUCUCUUGUUUUUGCGUGAACAUGCAAAAUGGUGAUGAACCAUUAAAACUCUUUUUUCCUUUGCCUCAUGCAUUCUAUCCAUCCGAAAAGUCCUUCAAAAUACAAAUCAAAGAGUUGAGAUGGAUUUAUUUAAUGGAAACUAAAAGAAAAAUAAUAAAAAAUCAAAAUUCAAAGGAAAGUAGAGAAAUGAGAAACCAUUGGGCUAGCUAGCCAUUGACAUGACUAAGCCUAUUAACCUUUGCAUCAAUACUCAAUUUGGAUAUGACUUGCAAACAAUGAAUGGACCAACUCCUUGAUACUUAAGUUUUCUCAUAAAAACAUGUGGCUUGAAAUAGCCUUCUUUGAACUUGUUCUUUUGAAUAAGUUGGCCAUACCAUUCCUUGAGCUUUUUUUUUUUCAUGGUCUUUAAAUUAUUGUGCACACCAUGCUUCAUGGUUUUCACUUUCUUCAAGCUGAAAGACCAUUUCAUUAACUUCAAAAGUUCAAUUUCUUCAUUGAUCCUCCAAAUUUCAAUCUGUUCAUUAGAAAUUACUUCACCAAGUUUUGAAAAAUUAUCUUCAACAUUUUCUUUCACUAGAUUUUCCAUAGGUAAUUCAAUCAAAUAAGCCUUUAUAAGCCCCCUUUCCUCUUUAGUACCAUACUUCUUACAUGAAUGAAAAAUGUUCAACUCAAUUGUCAUGUUCCCAAAGGUAAGUUGCAUCACCCCACUUCGACAAUUAAUCAAUACAUUUGUUGUGGCAAUGAAAGGUCGACCAAGUAUAAUAGGAACAUGGUUGAGUCCACUAAUUCCUUGUUCCGUAUCAAACACCACAAAAUCAACUAGAUAAUAGAAAUUAUCAAUUUGGAUCAACACAUCUUCAAUAAUUCCUCUUGGAAACUUAACCGAUCUAUCCGCCAAUGAAAGUGUGAUGGAAGUAGACUUUAGUUCUGGAAGCCCUAAUUGCAUAUAUAUUGAGUAGGAAAGAAGAUUCACACUUGCACCCAAGACUAAAAGUGCUAUUUUCACAAAAGUGUUGCCAAUAUUCAACAAGAUAGUUGGACAUCUUGGAUCCUUAUACUUGAUUGGAGUCUUGCAUUGGAUGAUUGCACUAACUUGUUCAGUCAAGAAAGCUUUCUUUUUCAAAUGCAUCAUUCUCUUUAUGGUACACAAAUCCUUAAGACACUUGGCAUAGGCUGGAACUUGUCUAAUCAUGUCAAGGAGUGGUAUAUAGACUUUUACUUGCUUCAAAACUUCAAAAAUUUCUGAAGCAUUAUUUACCAUCUUCCUUGAUUGAAGAGCCAUGGGAAAAUGUGGAGAUAAGAACAUAUCCUUGUUCAUUUUAGCUUCACUCUUCUCCUCCUUUUCUCUUUCAAAAUUUUCAGUCUUUGUUCUUUUACUCUUCUUAUCAUUUUCAGUCUUCACUUCCUUCUCUUUUGGUUUUGGCAUAGGUUGAUCAACUUGCUUAACACCUCUUAAGGUAAUGGUUGCUUUGACUUCAUCAUACUUAGUAUAACUUUCACUUGUCUUUCCAAUUUUAUGGACUUGACUUGGAUUUUGUUGGGGUUGUGAAGAGAAUUUUCGUUUUUCUUGCACCUUAUGCAUGUUUUUGAGUUUAGAAAUAGCAAGCUGCAUAUUAUCAAUCUUUUGUGUGAGAUUGGUUUGCAAGCUAUCAAAUUUCUGAUUGAAAGAUGUCUCCACAUGAUCUAUCAUUUGAUUUACUUGAGUAGUGAUAUUCUUUUGAUCACUAAUAAAAUCUUCUAAAAUUUUACUCAAGUUUACAAUAGCUUGCUUAGCCAAAGAAACUCGUUGUGAAGAGUCUUCCAUGAAUUGUUGGCUUUGUGAGUAUUGACUUGAAGAAAAAUACUCUUGUCCACAAUUCCAUGACAUGUUUGGAUGAUUAUCAACAAGUCUUUCCCCCAUAGCUGGUAUUGUAGGACAAUCACUCACUUCAUGUUCUAUAGAUUGACAACUAGAACAUUGCUCCAUGUAAAUUGUAUUAUCAUAUAUUGCAUUCACCUCGUGAAAUCCCUUAGCUUCAAGUUCCUCUAGCCUUUUUGUCAAAGCUAUCAUUUUAGCUUGUAGAUCAACAUAUUUAUUCAACAUAUACAUUCCUCCAUUUGAAUUGCUUUGAGACUUGGACUUGUGUGAAUCCCUUUCAUGUGGCUCAUCCCAUGACCUUGAUAUUUCAGCCACAUAAUUCAAAAAUUCAAAGGCUUCAUCGGGACUUUUGCUCAUAAAGUCACCUCUACACAUGGUUUCUAGCAAUUGCUUCAUAGUUGGCGACAUGCCUUCAUAGAAGUAACUCACCAACAUCCCUGUCUCAAAACCAUGAUGAGGACAAGCAUUGACUACUUCCAUAUAUCUUUCCCAACAAGCACAAAAUUUUUCAUUGUCCAGUGCCACAAAGUUAGUAAUUUGCCUUUUCAAGCCACUUGUGCGAUGUAUGGGAAAAAAAAUUCUUCAAGAAGGUUGUUUAUAGUUCCAACCAUGACCUUAUGCUUUGGGGCCUCAAUGAGUUAAACCACAACUUAGCCUUAUCCUUUAAUGUGAAUGGAAAAAGCUUUAAUCUCAUAAGCUCUAUGAAUGUAUUUCCCUCAUGAAAUGUAUGACAUACUUCUUCAAAAUCCUUUAUAUGAGUAUAAGGAUUCUCAUUCUCCAUUCCAUGAAACUGAGGGAGAAGUGGUACCAAGUGAGUUUUUUUUUUAUUUUUUAUUUUUAUCACAAUAGGCUCAUUAGGAAGAACUAUACAUGAUCUCACGCCUAUCCUUUGAGGAUUCAUAAAUUCUCUCAUUGAUCUAGACAUGUGAGAAUUGCCAUUGCUUGGUCCUUGUUGAGUUUGUUGAUUUUCCCCUUGAUUUUCCAUUUCCCCAACAAUUGGAUCACAAACUAAAGAUGAUUAGCAAUGUAAGUCCUUUGUAAUCUCUCCCUUGAGUUUUAUUCUAAAUGUAGCAUGCAAUGGAGAGCCUACAAAACAAGCUAAAAAAAAAAACCAAAACAAACCAAGAAGAACAAAAAGAGAAAUAAAAGAUAAAAAUGGAAUUAAAAAAAAAUGGAGAAUCGGUAAAGAAAACUUCAACAAUCUUGUGAUGUGGAUCACAGGGGCUAAUCCUCACGAAAAAAUUUGCCUCAAUAACCUUAGCACCAUCCCCAGCACCAGCAUCAUUUUUGAUCGCUUGGUUUUUCGUCGUUUAUUGGAUCAAAACAAAAUUUAUAACCUAAUUCACUAUUCUAGAGUAGCUUGUACCCCAUCAAAAAGUGGUUUUUGUACAAACUACUGUAGUGUAAUGGUUUCUAGGUGUCGUUCACUAGGAUGGAUUAUUCUCGGUAAGAAUGAGAGGAUAAGAAAUGAUUGUGAUCAAGUGAAAUUAAUUUAAAAAUUCAUAGUGAAAAACUAAUGUAACAAUGGUCUCAAAUUGAAAAGAAAAAUGAAAUGAAAAAUAGAAGAAAAUUAAUAGGAGAUGAAAUUCUCGGAGUUAAGAUUUUCUAGAAAACAAUUUCCAUGGUGAAUAGAUGUUGAGAUCUAAUUUUCAUCAAGUUAGAUUGAAAACCUAAAUUUUCAUUUAAACCGAUUUUUGAUUUAGCUUUAGGUCUAGAUCUAAUUUCUCUUCAAAUUAGGUCAUUUAAUCCAAGAGAUCAAUUCAAUUCAUCUUAAAUUAUCUUCCAAUGAUUCACACAAUGCAACUAUUCAAUCUUAUCAAAUCCAGCUUUAAGAAUUUAAUGAAUCUACCUAGUUUGCAUUGUAGAAGUCAUCCAAGACAAUUUGAAGAGAAAAAUCCCCAAAAUUCAAUUAAUCAAUCAAUUGGAUCAAAUCACAUUUGCAAUUCAAGCUCAUUUCUCUAAUUCACCAUAGACCUUGCCUUUAGAUCCUCCUUUCUCUGAGAAAAACGAGAUUUAACCACUCAUGCUUGGAGAUUUGGUCUCAUAAGACAUGUUUGGCUAGUAAGAAAAUGAAAGAAAAUGAGAGAAAAUGAAGGAAAGUAGAGAAUUAUCUAGAGAGAUAAAAUUUGAAAAAUUCUACAAAUUAGAAAUAUCCAAAAAGCUCCUCAAAUGAGAAAAUCAAGUUUCUAUUUAUAGGUCAAGGUCAAGUGGACACUUGGCAUCAUUUAUGAGGUCUUUCGAAGGCUUCUUCACCAAGAAAUCUAGAGUUUAGUAAUAAAAUGGUCAUUUCGCACGAGAUCCAACAAUUUCGCAUGAUUGUACGAAGUAAAAAAUGCAUCAACACCAAUUUUCGCCUUCAUGGAGCAUUUCGCAUGUUUUGCAUGGUCAUGCGAAAUCAGCUUUGAGAUUUCCCUUUAAUUUACAACAAAAAUGUCUUCUGGUCCAUUUCACAUGACUGUGUGAAAUUUUCGCAUGAUCAUGCGAAAUGGAAAUACAUAAUUUUUCAACUCUUUUUUGUCAUUUCUUCCAUUUCUUUCUUUUGAAUCCACCUCAAUCACCUCCAAAUCAACUCCAAAUCCCGGUCCAAACCAAUUGCAUUACUUCUUUCAUUAUGUAUUUGGAUCUUCAUCAACUUUAUUUGUUCUCUUCAAUUUGAUUCAUCUCUUGUGUCACCAAUUUAUCAAAAUCAUACCUUGAAAUGACUCCAAAACUUCAUAAAACUUGUUAGUAACUCUUGCAAGGGCAACAACAUGUUAAUUGAGUGUUUUAAGCAUAAUUACUACUCAAAAGAUGUGAAACUCGUGAGAAUUAGUAUCUAAAAUAUACUUUUUUGAGCAGUAAUUAGUUAAGUUACACUUAAAUGAUAACAAAUUAUUUGAGUAACCCUUCCUAUAUUGAAGUAUCAUUGGGGGGCUUCAAUAUUUGACUAUGACUCAACCUAAUAUAUCCUUUACUGUAAACAAACUUAGUCAAUUUCUUUAUGCACCUACAAAUCAACAAUGGCAAGCCUAUAAAAGAGUACUGAGGUAUUUAAGAGGCACAAUUGGACAUGGCUUGAAGUUUCAACUAAAAAAAGCUUUGGUCCUUGAAGGAUUUACCGAUGCAAAUUAGGUUAGUAACAUUGAUGACAAGAGAUCUACAAGUGGUUAUUGUAUUUUUCUUGGAGGAAAUUUGAUUUAAUGGAGUUCUUGAAAGAAAAAAGUUGUAGCAUGUUGGUUAUGUAUUGAGAGUGAGUAUCAAGUUUUAGCUCAAGCUGCUACUGAAAUAGUUUGGCUACAAAUUAAGCUUGUUUGUUGAACUUGGACUCAAAACUAUGCAUAGUCCUAUAUUGUGGUGUAACAACAUUGAAGUAAGAUCCUUAGCUUCAAAUCUUGUGUUUCAUGCAAAAAAAAAAAAAAAAACACAUAGAGAUUGACAUUCAUUUUGUGAGACAAAAAGUUAUUGCAAAAGAGCUAGAUAUAAGGUAUGUGCCAACUGAAGAACAAAUUGUAGAUCUAUUGACUAAGCCCUUAACCACUACUCGGUUUGAACUACUUCAUGACAAACUCAUCUUUGCCAAGGCAUAACAUUGCUUGAGGAAGUGAGUUGAAGCAAGUGGUUAAUUAGUUUCAACUAACUCUGUAAUUAGUUCGCAGGACUAACUACUUUCUAUUACAGAAAGUUCUCUAUGCUUCCAGAAUUCUCUAGUUACAUCCAUGUCUAUGUAUAAAACUUAAGAAUACUAUAAUUGUUUUUCUUAGUUCAUCAAUCAAACUAGACAUAGUUAUGCUGAAAAAGAUAAUUAUCUCACUUGCAAACAUAUCUGGGUGGAAUUAAAAACAGUUAAUUUAUAUUGUAAUGAUCAUUGAUAUUAAUUAAGAAGAAUAUUCGGCUCUUAAUUUGAGAAUGUAUCAAUUUGGAAAUUCCAACAAUUUGUUUAAUAGUUGCAAAUGAUAAAUUAUAAUUUAGGAAUAAAAAAAUAUUAAUUGUAUAUUUUUAGUUUUUUUCCGUUUUCCACUUGACACAAAUAUUGCAAUUUUUUAUUAAAUUAGUUUGUUUAGAACAUUAUUUCAAGAACAAAAUUAAGAAAAGAUAAUUUGAUAUGAAAUAAAAGUCCGAAAUAAAUUAUUUGUUAUUUGAUAGAAAACUUGAUAGUAGUAAAAUAUGUUUAUAUAUAUAAAAAAUUUUCUUACUGUAGACCCCUGUUAAGGUGAAGGCCUGGGGGAGAAUUGGGAGGGGUUUUUUUUUUUCAUUUUUUCACUGCAUUUUUUGGAGAGUUGGGGGGGGGGGGGGGGGGGCGGGGGGCCUCCUCUAGGCAUGGGACGUGUCAGGUUGGUAGUUGAGGAGGCCAUGCUGCUGAUGUGAUGAACAGGGUGAUGAGGAAGAAGACAGAAACCAGCUGAGGGGCAAGAGGAUAGCAGGGAGCAAGGGUGAGGAGGAAGGAACUUGAAGCCUAGCUAGUCUUGAGAGAGUCCACUUACAGGUACGAACCUCAUGUCUUUCACCUUCCAUUAUUCUCCUAUCCUUCCUGACGUUUUUUUUAGUUCUAGUCCUAAACCAUAAUUUGUUUACUUUGUUUACUUUGGUUAAAUUUAGUCCUCUGCAUACAUGCUUUGUUCUUGGUUUUUUUUUUUUUUUCUUUGUUUCGUUUUCUCCCACCCCUUGGAGCUGGUUGCAACUGACGAACCCCUAAAGAGGAGCACUGAAUCAGUGCCAAUCCAAAGCGUUUCUUACGCUAUGAAACCGAAGAACUCCUCCUGCUUAUCUGUAACUCCGAUGAAAUGGACUUUGACGAUGUCGUUUCUGUUAUCCAUGACGAUGAGGAGCUUCAACCUGGACAACCCUAUUUCGCGCUGCCAUUGGGCAAGUUGAAGCAACCGCUUCAGGCGGAGGAGAUGGCCGCUUUGGCUGUCAAGGCGAGGUCCGCCCUCAUGAGGAGUGGCGGAGACCAAUGCCAGUGUCGCCAAAAGUCUCCAUUGCCGGCCAUGUUUUCUGGCGAGAAGGACUCGAAGUCGUCCGGGAGAGUAGCUCCCGGCGGUGGUGUCGAAGGCGGAGGAGGCAGUGAGACGGAGGAGUACGUGGAUGCGCCGUGAAGAGGACGCACGUAGGCUGCCGUUCUCUGGCGCUUAUUCCGACGUGGUGGCGUCGCCAUUGCCGCCGCGGGAAGGUGGUGAUCGUGCUGAAGCCAGGCGCGGGGGGGCGUGCUGUGAAGAAGAUGAAGUUUGGGCUUGGGCUUGAGUUGGGGCACUAGGCCCAAUUUUGUGAUGGAGAUAGGUUUUGGGCUUACCUAUGUUGGUUUUUGGUUUUGGGCUUACCUAUGUUGGUUUUUGGUUUUGGGCUUGCCUAUGAUGGCUUUGGUUUUGGGCUUAAGUUGGAGCCCAGGCCCAAGUUUGCUGAUGGAAGGCCCCAUUGCUCCUUAUGCUAGCCACUCUCAUGGCCCAAGUCCAUGAUGAGUGAGCCCAUUUAGCUACUUCAUGUCCUAACAAGUUUUAAAUCUUUAAUCUUAGUAAAUUAUUAACUUAUUCAUGCAUUUUCAUUUUACUUUUUUUAUCUUAUUUUAUCUUCACUAAUUUAGUUAGCUCAAACUUAAAGACAACUUAAAGACAAAUUAUUAAUUAUAUUUUUAUCUCGAAAUUUAUACUAUUCAAUUUCACUAGCUUAAACAUUAUGAUUAUUAAUUAUUAUUAUUAUUUCGCAUGUAUCUAUUUAUCAUAUUUCAAAAAUCUCAUUUUAUUAAAGUUAAAAUUCUAAUCCUUCAAAAUCCUAUGUCUUAAUUUAAUUCUUCGAAUAUUUGUUUAAAUCUCAUUUUCAUCCAUUAGAAUUAUUUAUCUCAUAUUUAUCUAGCUAUUUAAAGUCUAAUCUUUUAAAAAUCCUAUGUUUUAAUUUAAUUCUUCAAUAAUCAGUUCAAAUUUCAUUUUCAUCCAUUAGAAUUAUUUAUCUCAUAUUUAUCUAGCUAUUUAAAAUCUAAAUCCUUUAAAAAUCUAAUGUCUUAAUUUAAUUCUUCAAUAAUUAGUUCAAAUCUCAUUUUCAUCCAUUAGAAUUAUUUACCUCAUAUUUACCUAGUUAUUUAUAGUCUAAUCCUUAAAAAAUCCUAUGUCUUAAUUUAAUUCUUCAAUAAUUAGUUCAAAUCUCAUUUUCAUCCAUUAGAAUUAUUUAUCUCAUAUUUAUCUAGCUAUUUAAAAUCUAAAUCUCUCAAGGAAAUCGUAUGUCUUAAUUUAAUUCUUCGAAUAUUUGUUUAAAUCUCAUUUUCAUUCAUUAGAAUUAUUUAUCCUACAUUAUCUAGCUAUUUAAAGUCUAAAUCUUUCAAGGAAAUCUUACGUCUUAAUCUAAUUCUUCAAUGAUUAGUUCAAAUCUCAUUUUCAUCCAUUAGAAUCGUUCGUCCCAUAUUUAUCCAGCCAUCUAAAGUCUAAAUCUUUCAAGGAAAUCAUGUCUUAAUUUAAUUCUUCAAUAAUUCGCUUAAAUCUUGUUUUCAUCAAUUAGAAUUAUUAUCAUAUAUUUACCUAAUUAUUCAAAGUCUAACCCUUCAAAAAUCUCAUGUCUUAAUUCAAUUUUUCAACAGUCCAUUCAAACCUUAUUCGUCUAAAUGUUAUCUUCCUUAAGUAGAAUUAUUAUCAUAUACCUAUUUAUUUAUUUAAAGUCCAAUUCUUCAAAAACCCAACGUCAUAAUUUAAUUUUCAACCCUAAAAAUUCCAUUAUUCUUUUUAUUAGUUUAAAUGUUAUUUUCAUUAAUUAGCAUUAUUAUCCUAUAUUAGUUUAUUUAUUUAAAAUCCAAUCCGUCAAAGAUCCAAUGCCCUAAUUUCAUUUUCCAAGUCCUAAAAAUUCCACUAUUCGUCUAAAUGUCAUUUUCGUUAAUUAGGAAUUAUUGUCUCAUAUUUAGUUAUUCAAAGUCUAAUCCUUCAAAAAUCCAAUGUCAUAAUUUAAUUUUCAAUCCUAAAAAUUUCAUUAUUCGUCUAAAUGUUAUUUUCGUCAGUUAGAAACUUCAUACUUGUUUAUCUCUUUUAAAAAUCUCAAUAAUUGAACUUAAUUUUCAACCCUAAAAGUUCCACUAUCCUUUUUUAUUCGUUUAAAUGUUAUUUUCGUCAAUUAGUAUUAUUACCCUAUGUUAGUUUAUUUAUUUAAAAUCUAAUUCUUCAAAAACCUCAUGUCUUAAUUUAAUUUUUCAAUCCUAAAAAUUCUAUAAUUUGUUUAAAUGUUAUCCUCAUCAAUUAGAAUCAUUAUCCCAUAUCUGUUUAAAGUCCAAUCUUUCGAAAACCCCAUGCCCUAAAUUUGACUUUCAAUCCCAGAAAUUCCAUCAUUCGCCUAAAUGUUAUCUUCAGUAAUUAGAAUUCUUAUCACCUAUCUAUUUAUUUGUUUAAGGUCCAACUCUUCAAAAAUUCAACACCUUAAUUUAAUUUUUAAUCUUAAAGAUUCCACUACUCAUUUUCUAUUCGUUUAAAAUAUUGUUUCCGUUAAGUAGCAUUAUUAUUCCAUAUUAUCUAUUUAAUCUAAUUGUUAAAGUUUAAUUCAUCGGAACCCGACUUCCAAAUCUAAUUUCCAACCUCAAAAGUUCUGCCGUCCAAAUAUCGUCGUUUAAUGAUUAUUCUCAUUAUUAAUGUUAUCCCAUCCACUUACUUAUUCAAUUACUCAUAUACCAAAGAUCUCAUCCCUGAACAAAUUCUUAAGUUCUCAAACUCUAAGUUCACAUCUUCAAAUCUCUAAAAUUCCAUCUUUUGCAAUUAUUUACCUAAUCUUUAUUGCUUCACCACUAUUAUUAUUCCAUUCCUUUACUUAUUCACUCAUCCACUUACCUACUCGUUUAAAAUCUCGAACUCUCAAAUCAUUUCCAAAAUUCCAAUUUCUUUAAAAUUUAAUUUCUAAAAAUUCUCAUUCUUACAUUUAAUUCCUAAAAAUCCAAUUUUCAAAUAAUCUCCAAGACUAAUUUUCAAAUGAAUUUCAAAAAAUCUAGUUUUCCCUUGAACAAUUUUAGUUUCUGUUUGGUAAUGCAAGUGAUAUGUUUUAUGCUCUUUAUUAUACACUGACCCCAUUUUUAUGAUAGCGCAUUGCUCGAUCGUGGCCCAGGUACGCAUCCAUUCCAUUUCUAGUCAUUUUAUAUGCACGUUUUGAUUCCCAUAUAUGCAUGAUCGAUUCGAGUAUCCAUUGAUUUUCCUAUUGAUUGCCACGUCAGCUUCAUUUUAUUAGUAGAGACCCGACUUUAGGGACUUAGAGGGGUGCUAUAGUUUUUACCGUACCUUCCCGAUAAGUAACCUAACCCCCGAACCCGAUCCGGUUUUUUUGUAGAUCACCUUUUCCAAAAUAAGGAGUCGCACUUAGAGUUUUCUUUCUUAUUUUGUUUACCCUUUUAAAAUAGAACAAAAAUAAGUGGCGACUCCAAGUCAUUUUCUAAUAAAUAAAAUUGUUUUUCAAAUAAAAUCAAGUUCGUCAUCGAGUGGAAAACGCGUGAGCCGAAAUGCGAGGUCCACACUUACUUUUUCCUUAUUUCAUACCUAAGGUAGAUGCCUUACAAAAUAAUUAUUUGAUAAAAAAAAAUUGAUUAUUUUGAAAACAAUGUAAUCAAUUUUCACUUUUACUAACUGAUUAGAGUGUUUUACAGAAAAUAUAGGGAUGGAAAAUAGAUAGUUCAAAAUAGAUCAAAUCUCAUAUUCUUAUCUUUAUUCUAAUAAAAAUUUUAUACAAAAUUGGGUGGAGUACAAAAAAAUAAUUAUGAGAAUUUCUCAUAUUUUGUCUGUCUUGUACUAUUAUUAUUAUUUCUAAAAAACCUAAAUAUUAAUUAUAUUAAAACUAAAAAUAAUAGGCAUAAGAUAUAAAAAAUAAAAGGAAAAUAUGAAAAAUAAAAUAUUUUUUUUAAAAAAAAUUAAUUAUAUAUAGAAUAGGGAUAAGAAAUAAGAAUAAGGAAAUAUUGAACCGAGUUUUCUUUUUCCUUUUUUAAAUAAAAAAUAAAAAAAUCUCAAACCAGUUCUAAUAGGGGUAAGGUGGGUAAGUACCUAAAAAACCCACUUCAGCCUCGUUUCAACACAAAAACGAAUAGUUUUGCUAAACUAGGUGGAGGAAGAUCAUGGACUUACGUAUAGAUUAUUUUUUAAUAAAUAAAUAAUUUAUUAUCCUUUGAAGCUUAAAAAAAUAAAAAUAGUUUUUUAACCUAUAAGACAUGUUAAAUAAACUUUUGAUAAAGAAAAUUUUCAUGAUAAUUUGUUUUGAAAAUGAAUUGUUUUUCGGAACAAAUUUGAGAUUUUUUUAUUGUUUUUUGAAAAAGAUUUUAAUUAAUAAUUUAAAAUAAAAAAUAAUUUAAACAAAUAGUUUCAUAGAAAAUAAAGUUAGAAACUAUUUUUCAUAUUUAAGUUCCAAAUAUAUUUUUAUUUCUAAAAAAAUGAAUUUUUUUUUUAAGAAUCAUUCUCAAAAACUAUUAUUUGAGAAUUGUUUUUAAAAUAUUACUAAACAAGCCCUUACAAUUUUUAAUUUUUCCAUCCUAUAUAUAAUGUUAAUCAUAAUUAAAGUAUAACUUGUCUAAGCCUAAUUAGAUUUUUGGAGAAGUGUAGGUUAUAUGUGCCAAGUGUUACACUUGGAAUCAGUUUUUAGAUCCAUUGUCCACUUAUAGAAAAUGGUUUUAUUUUUUUUAGAACAUCAAAAUAAUAUUCUAACUCAAUAGAAAAUAUAUUUUUAAAGAAAAAAUUAUUCGAACAAGUUUCAAUUUUUUUUCUUUUUAUAAAAUAUCCUAAACAUAAUUGAAAGAUGAGAAUACUUUGUACAUUAUUUUCGUAAAAAGUAAGUCUAAAUUUUUUUUUUAUACCUAUGUUUCUAAACAAAAUUUCGUUUUGAUCGAAAAAUAAUUUAUAACAACUAUUCUAAAAAGAAAUGUAUUGUACUCAUAAACAUUGCUAUAUAUGCAUGUUCUAAAUUCAUAUUUAAUUUGAAAGAAAAACUAAUUUUCUCACCAUUAUUUUAAUUAUCACCAUAUCCUCUUCUUCGAACUUGAAAUCAAGUUGAAUUGAUGAUUAUUAAAAAACAGGAGUGUCUGUGAUAUUUUAUAUGGGACAAUUGUGUUUUGGACCCAACUAGGCUCAAAAAUUAAGAUUUGACCCAUAAAAGUUGCAUAAUUGAUGGGAAUGAUAUAAAAUGUGAAAAGACCAAUAUACUCUUCAAAACUAUUUUGAGUAUUUUCUACCACAAUGUUUUAUAAUAUUUUUUACCUUUAUUUUUUUUAAUAAUUAUUUUGAAAUUUUAUUAUUUUUAGAAAACUAUUUUUUUUAAAUAUAUAUUCUAAAAAUAUAUCAUUUAAAAAUAAUAAUUUUGACAUAUUUUUAGUUAUUUUUUACAUACAUAAUUUUAAAAAUAUAUAUUUUUCAUAUUUGUAGACCCCAUUUUGGGGCUCAUUUGUUGUAGUUUAUCUUGCCAGUUGGAGGGCUCUUAAGGAGCCACGUGUUGCCUCAAGAGAGGGUGUUAAAUAAUCAUAUUAGUGGGUAGAGGAUGCAAUGGAGAAAAGACAAGUGUUGAAGGAAUAUUUUGGGGGGAGUGUAUUCUAUUAGAUAGGGACAGUGAGGCAGUUAGAGAGGGGGAAGAGAUUUUGUUGUUGGUUACAGAGAGGUUUUAGGAUAGCUUAGAGGGCAAGACAUCCAGAGGAGGGGGGGAGGAGGGAAGAGCAAGAGAACUUGAGGAGAAAGAUAGCUAAAAAAGAAAAACAGAGAGUUAUAGGAAGGAAGAGCGUUGUAGGGUUGAUAACUUGAGGAGCAAAUUGGUUUGGGAGGAAGGACUGAGAGAAACAAGCUGGGUAUUCCGGAGACAGUGGGUGUGAGACUGUGAGAGAACAUCUGGAGGAGAAAAUUAGUUGGAGGUUGCUUGAAGGAGGAAAAGAAAACUUGAAAGAAUUUUUUCCAGGUACAUUUGUUGUAGCCUCUUGGAUUGCUUUUACUCAUCAUUUUUUUUUUUUUAAUCUUUCAUUCUCUCUAGUUGUCUCUGAUUUUCUGGGCAUCGGUCAAUUGUUUGGGCAUUAGUAUGAUGUUGUAUUACACUUCUCUCAUAUUUGUUUAUUUGAAUAUGGCUCAUUCCCAUAGUAGGAGUUUGUUGAUGCUCUCAUUUUGAUAUUUGUUAUGAACUAUCCUACUGCACCACUGGUCGGCGAAUCCCUGGAUUUCAACAUGAAAAGGGAUCCCACUUAAUAUUCUGCUCACUCUAUUUACUUGGUUCUGGGUAAGCUGUAUCCUGUUUUGCACACUUCUUUACUUCCGGCACCUCAAUUCAUAUCCCUUUUUAUGGCUUAUAUCUUCAAAUUUGCUCUGGACGAUUGGUUGUGUGUUUUGAUCUGUGCUUGAGGAGAGAGGGUUGUGUGUUGGCUUACUACUCUAGAUCCGUGACCCCAGUGGACGAGAUGUAUACAUGUGUUAUAUUAGCUCUUAUUUUGGCUGCUGGGUAUGCCACUGAUGCAUUUGGGAUCCAAGUUCUAUGUAAUUGGUUUUUCCAUGGGUGGACAGGUGAUUUGGAGUUGCCUCAAGUAUAUCCCUCAUAGGCUGGUAGGUGCAACACUAAUAGCUCUAGUGGUCAACUACUGGUGGCCUAGUUUUCCUACAAACUUAUCUAAAGAAGCCUACUACCAAUAGUUUCGGUAGGAUUAGUGGGCGCUUCGUGUUGCUCACUACACACCGUGGCUUACUUACCGGUGGAACACUCAAAAGUGGUUUUCUGCUUGUAGUGUUGCAGAACACAACACUAAUAUUCUUUCUCGCCCAGACAAAGAGCUCAUGCCUAAGCUUUCAAAGAUAAAGGAAUAUAUGGCGUAGGUGAGACAACAAGGAGAAUUUGAGUCUAUCCACCGUGACUUGAUGAUUAGAUUUGGAACUUGGGAAUUUGAUCCCAUGGAUCUGAAGAACCCAUUCCCAAACAAUGAAGGUUCUAUCCACCUAUGGCAUGGAGAUGAAGAUGCAAUUGUGCCUGUUUCACUGCAAUACUACAUUACCCAACAACUCCCAUGGAUCAUAUUUGUAGAUAUCCAUCUGUUUGAUCAGCUCAAUGGGCAGAGACCUCUGCUGAAUCUUCUUCUUUAGGUAGAACCUCACAAGCUCCUCAUUUAUGGGAUGAAACCUAAAGCCAUGCAGCAUAACAUCAUCCAUUUUAUCAGCAUCAUUCCUCUCAUCCAUCAUCCAUUUUCUUCCCUGAUUUCCUCAAACCUGAUUAGGAAUUAGAAUCAAUGAACUCUCUAAGCUGAUAUGGUAGUGAGCUUUUUGGAAAACUAACACCAACCCAUCAAUGGAAAUUACAAUUCACUUUAUUCAAAGCCAUUAUAUGCCUUAUGAUAAGAAGCUUGACUACGCAGCUUGAGCCAGGUUUUAUGGUGGUUGUAAGGGGGAGUGUUUAUCAGUGAAUAUCACAAUGACUUGGUGAUAAGAAUAGCUAAAGGAAAGCUCUGUGAAGAACAACUAGUUACGAGAGAGAGAUAUUCAAAGAAGAGGUUAGAUUCAAGGAGAAACGGAGGAAAGAGUCCCAAGUUUCCUUCCUUAAAGCCUGAAAGUAAAAAUCUAGUGGAUGAAUCUUUGAAAGCUAAUGAAAAGAAAGAAGAAAAAUCCAAGAAAGGUGAUGGUGAUAAGGUGAGAAAGGGAAUGGAGAAGGGGUCUAAGAAAAAUGAGGUGAAAUCUUAGAAAGGGCCGUUAAGAGUUGGACUGGACAUGUGCUAAAAAAAUGGGGAUGUUAUGUGUGCGCUUGAACUAUAUGGUUUGGCUCUAAGGAAAUGAAUUGAAUUAGGGCAAUAUCACUAUAUUGUUCUUUUGUAUCUUUGUUCUUUAGCAGCACUUGGUGUUAUUUAACCUGCAAAAAGUGGAACUGGUAGCCGGAGUUUGGACAUGCUGAGCCCUUCUAGUGAAGCUCAUGGUGAGGUUUCCGAAGAUUUGGCAGAAUUUGGGGACACGAGCAAGAAGAAUUCUGAAGCAUUUGAAGUAGCAAAAGAUGAUUUGGAUGGUAGUUUCACUGAAAUGGACAAGUUAUCUCUAGUCUUUAAUUGCUUUAAUAAGUCAAAUAGUCAACUUUUGGAAGGUCAAAAGCAUUUAAGAAAGGGUGUUGAUGACUCCACAAAUAUAAAAGAAGAUAAUGAAAUUUGGGUAAGUGAAGAUUUCAAGAAGUAUGCACUCCGAAGUGGAUUUCAAGAAGUCCCAAUGAAUGAAGCAACCUUGACAUCGUUGGUGAGAAUGGCAAUGUCCAUGGGUAAUGGUGACAUGGCUUUUGAUAUGGUAAAGCAAACGAAACCACUGGGGAUAAAUCCUAGACUACGGUCUUAUGGUUCUGAACUUUUUACUUUCUGCAACAAUGGAGAUAUUGAGAAAGCAUUUGGUGUUGAAGAACGCAUGUUGGAGCAUGGUGUCUAUCUUGAAAAGCCAAGUUUUAUACCGAUUUUACUAGAACAAGAGCAACCUGAUGAACAAAUGUAUUCCCUUGCAGCCAUGCCAUCGUCCUUGACUGCACAAAAAUUUCUUCCAAAUGCAGUCCCCGUUGGUCAUUUCCUUGGAUUGAUGCACAUACCAUCUUCUAUUCAACUAGUAAACCAACAACUUGCACUAAAUUUGCCUACAACUGCCUGCCUUGGUGAAAAAUCACUUCCAUGUCACGAUGCCAAUGAUGCAGGGAGCUGCUAGGUUUCCUUCCUAGAUAGGCACCAAUGUCAAGGGGAUGGAAUGAUCCAUUUUUUGAGGCUGAUCGGCGAUAAAUAGCCAAACAAGCAACUGCCUUUAAGCGAGUACAUCCAAUAUUGCAUUUGCUUGCUAGUUCACUGCCAUCAACCCAAGUUGCUAGGUUGCUUACAAAUUAAUUCACAACUAGUGCACCGACUGCACCACAACAGACAUUUGCAUCAACUUCAUCUGGUAAUGGGUUCUCACUUUUUUGGUAUUUCAUCUUCUGCUCCAUCUAUCAUCCACCUACAUCCAAACUUCUGCCAAGUCACCUUUGUUGACCUCACAUGUAGACUGUACAAGUCUAUGGUUUGAGUUUGAGGCAAAGUUUUUCCGAAUUUGAUGAUUCAGAUUCAAAGGAAGGUUUCCUAACCGAUUCAUAGGAUGGUAGAGUGAACACAGUAGCACUCUGGGUUUCAUUCCUACAUGGUUAUCCCUCACCAUCUCUCUCACUUAUGCACAUAUGCAUGGCCACCUUUGGGUCACGUGUCACUCUUCCAUUUCUUCAUCCUUGCUUUUAAAAAAAAUAGUUUCCGAAACCCUAGUUUGCCAAUAAUUUUCCAAAUUCUAGUUUUUCAAAUAAUUUCAAUUCUUCAAAUUUUCAUUCUUAGAAUUUUUAGGUCCCAAAAGUCCCGUUUUUCAAUAAAAAUUUGCUGUCAUUUUCUUUGGUGGGGGCAAUUUUCACAUUUUCUUUUAUUUUUAAAAUGUUUUGAAAUAAACGUGGAUUUAAUUUCGUAAUUCCGAAUAAUGGAAAUUCAUAGGAUUAAUUCAUGCAAAAAUAAAUCGGGCUUUGGUGGGGGCAAUUUUCAUAUUUUCUUUGAUUUUAAAAUAAGCAUGAAUUUAUUUUUGUAAUUCCAAGUGAUGGAAUUUACAGAAUUGAUUCAUGCAAAAAUAAAUCAGGCUUUGGUGGGGGCCCAAUAUAUGUGAUUUUCUCAUUGAUUGAUUGCUAUACAUGACAGACUUAUUUCACUCUAUGACAUGCAUGCGAUUAUGUUGUGUUUGUUUACUAAUCUUUGUUUUCCAUGAAGAAAAUCAGCUCAUCACUCAGGUACAUUCUUGGCCUCUCUUGUUCAUUCGAUUAUUUUGUUUUGAUUGAUAUUCAUUCGGUAUCCAUAUUUGAUCAAUCAAUUGCCAUACUUGCUUCAUCUCAUCAGUAGAGACUCGUUUUUAGAGACUUAGAGGGGUGCUACGGUCUUUAUCGUACCUUCUCAAUAAGUAAGCUGACUCCCAAGCCCAGAUUUGGUUUUUCAUAGACCACCUUUUCCAAAAUAAAGAGUCACACUUAGGGUUUUCUUUCUUAUUUUGUUUACCCUUUUUAAAAAAUAAAUAAAUAAGUGACGACUCCAAGUCAUUUUAUAAAAAUAAAUCAUUUUUAAAUAAAAAGCAAGUUCUCCAUCAAGUGAAGACGCAUGAGCAGAAAUGCGAGGUCUACAAAAUGGCGACUCCACUAGGGAUCACUAAAGGGUCAAGCUUGAACUUAAGAUGAAGCAAAUGUGGUGUUUGAUUGGUCGAUCAAUAGGUACCCAUCUCUCUUUGUGCUUUUGUUUGCUUGACUACUGAUUGCACAUUGAGAGUUUUUUAUAUCAUUAUCCUGGAUACAUGUUUGGUUAUUGUGCUCAUUUGGGACAUUGACAUGUUGAUUAUGUUGAUUGAUUAUCUUGCUUGAGGAUUCUGAUGUAGCGAUUUUUCUAUGCUUCAUUGCUAUAUCUGUUUGGGACAUUGACAUGCUGAUUAUGUUGAUUGAUUAUUUUGCCUGUCUUAGCAUAGUGACUUUGAUUUUGCCAUGAUUGUUCUGCUCACCUCACAUGUAUAGACUUACUGUUGUAUAUCAUUUGACUUGAUGUGUUGAUUCUCUAGCUUGUAUAUUAUCUUGAUCAUCUUUGAGCAUGUUAUCUUUAUCACUAUUCAUCUUGAUUAUCAUAACUUGUAUGUGGACAUAAGUGAUAUAUAUGUACUUUGCUUGACUGUAUGGUGCAUGACUGCCCUCCUCUAUGUGAUUGCAGGUCGCUUAUUCAUGUGGGCCGCAUAUCUAUUCCCUUAUCUUCAACCCUCUGGUUUCAGUCAUCUCCUUCGUCUCGGCUCUUACUUUUGCAAGUGUGAGGCCUUGUGUGUACUUGUUUCUCUUACUGAGCUAGAGAUUAGGAGUAGGGACUAGCGAUGGGUUAUAUUGAUGGUUGGGAGCAUUCUGGAAGAGACCGACAUAUUGAUACUGAUUGAAGUCCUGAUCAUUGAAGACCUGUAUAGCCUAGAGCUAGGUUUCAUGGAUAUUUGUGCGAUCAAUAUGUUUCCUCUUUUGCUUUAGCUUCAUAGGAUUUUCGGAUGCACCCAUACCGCUCACUGUGCACUCUAGUUGACUAUUAAGUGUUGAGAGUUUCGCCAUAGGGAACUCCCUAGGAUGUCGAGGUAGUGCAUGUGUGGAGGUAAUGACCGCUUUGCAUGGAAGCGCCCUGUCUCUUCGGAGACGUGCAGAGGGUUGCGUACCGCCGGAAGGUAUGAUCGCUUCUACUAAAGAUCUUUUAAAGUCCACCCACAUCCUCUUAGAGCCACCUUGACCUUAUAGGUUAAGCCGUAGAUCCUUCGAUUAGGACUCAUUUCCUACACAUGGAUGCAUCUAAGGGACUUCAGAGCCUCUUUGGUCACGAUUUGGAUUCAGUACUCCCUCUUUUAGUCUCUAGUUGAAAAUGCACUGAGAUUAGUGCGAGUUUGAGUUAUAGUCAGACAGUCCGUCUACACUUUGAUGUUUUGCUCAUUUCAAUUCAGAUUAGCAUUUCUUCCGUGUUUUCCCUUGCCAUACCCUUAUUCCGUUUCUCAUGUUCCAGGAUCAACACUUUGUUCUCAGUCUAGAUUUACCAUCUUCUGUCAGAGUAGAGAGGAGAUUAGUUCGAUUUUCAGAGAGAUCAGACAUGGAUCAGCAGUUUGUCACAGUUGAUCAGUUAACGACCGUCAUGGCUUCUAUUCAAAAGGCCUUGGCCAGUCUCAGGCAGGAGAUAGGCAGUCAGCAGAGUAGACUACUCGUAGUUCAUACCGAGACGCCUUAUGACUCAUUGCCACCUCCACCACCACCUGUUUCGAUAGUGCCACAAGCCUCAUCUUAUCUAUUACAUGGUCAUUCUGAGAUUGCCCCGCCUGUAGUAGUACAGACCACAGUCAUUGAUGAUACUCAUGCACGUAUGGACCGUAUUGAGCAGCAUAUUGGAUAGUUGAGGGUAUCUGACAGUUCAACUAUUUGGGAUGAUCUUGAGGGUAUGCUAGUGGCCAGUUUACUGGCCAAGUUUAGGAUGUCCGACAUUGAGAGGUACACGAGCAUUGGUUGUCUUCACAUUCACCUGUAACUUUACAGCACGGUGAUGAGGGCUCAUGGGUUAGAUGAGUCACAUAUGAUCACCUUAUUCCCACUAUCUUUGAGUGGAGCGGCCCAGCGUUGGAUCGCAUCUUUGGAGUCCUCACGGCACAGGACAUGAGAUGACUUGGCCCAGGAGUUUUUGCUGCAGUUUUCAUUUAAUACUGUCAUAGAUGUGUCGAGAAGAGAGCUUAAGGUUCUGAGACAGAGAUCAGAUGAGUCUGUUUCUUCAUUCAUAUCCCGCUGGCGCGAGAAGAUAGCUGAGAUUAUGGAUACAGAUGGUUUUGAGGAGUCUAUAAUCUAGGAUCGCUAGACAUGUGGUCGGAGUGCCUUUCACAGACUUUGGCUAUCUGGUUUUGGCUCUAUAUGAUGUAGAGGAUGGUAUUUCGAGAGGAUUAUAGACAGAUUCUACCCAUAUUGAUGUUAAGGAAAAGAAACCAUCUGGAUAACAGAGAUCAGCUGAUGUGAGUGCUAUCAGUUCUACCAGUCAGAGGCCUCCCAGGCAUCAUCAGCCAGUUCCACAGCUUAUUAGGACUCACCUUUCUUAUGCACCUCAACAGUAUAGGCCAUGAGCACCUCAUCAAUCUUAUGAUCAGACUUACAUGCCACCCACCCUAGCACUACCUCAUUAUGCCGUGCAGGGCAUAAAGAGACCUCCUGCUUUAUAUCAUGCUCCAAUGCAGCCACUAUGCAACAUAGUUUGCCAUGAGACCCACAACAUCCUAUCUCAGGCCUAGAACUCAACAGACUUCUACUCUUUUUUCUUUGAGAACUCAGAGAUAGUUUUCACAGUUAGAUAUGUCGUUGAGCUAGGCUCUUUGGAAGCUCACAGGGGUCGGGUUGUUGAUGGCUCUCACUCCUAGGCCAUUGCUUCAGCUUGUCUCGCCUCAGUUUAGAAUGGAUCUACACUGUGCAUAUCAUCAAGGGCCAAGGCAUGAAACUAACCAUUGUACUGCUCUGAGACAUGCCAUUCAGGAUCCGAUUUAUUAGGGUUUGGUUCACUUGGAUCAGCCAAGUGUAACCACAAACCCAUUACCGGCCCACACUACACAUGCAGUUCCCUCUCCGAUCAAUGGCACACAUUUCCUUGACUUCGCUGAGCUUGACGAUCACAUCCACAUGUUGAGUUGGGAUGAGUCAAAGCCUGAGCCCAUAGUAUCAUAUGAGAUUUAUGAGAUAGACGAAGUGACCUUGAGCCCUCGGAUGCCCACACUAUUCAGACUAGUUCCUGAGGCGACAUCAGUACAGACAACCACUGUCGAGCCAUUGACUUUCCCACAUUACAACGUUCAGACGCCAUUCGUCUUGGUUCUAGAUGUUGAGGUGGUUCAGACUUGGUAUGUUAAUGUUUCUCAUACUCCCGAUGUACAGUAUAUUCUUUGUGGAGACAUGGUAUUAUGACAGCUGCUAGACUCUUGGAUGGGACAUCCGCUCCUGAGGAGGUCAGAAGAGAGGAUGAUGAGAUUCUGAGGCAAUUACAAAGCACACAGGCUCGUAUUUCUAUUUGGAAUUUGUUGGCAUCUUCCAACACUCAUAAAGAUGCAUUGACUAUAGCCUUGAGCCAGAUCAAAGUCGAGACUACCACUACUCCGGAGAGGUUGAUUCACAUGAUGAGGGCUGGUAGAGCCACUUGCAUAGUGUUUACUGUUGAUGACUUGCCUCCAAAGGGUUCGGACCAUACACGUCCACUGUAUAUCUCAAUCGGUUGUUCAGGCCACCGAGUCCCAUUUAUCCUUUUGGACAAUGGCUUAACCCUGAACAUUUGUCUUCUAGCCACUGCCAUCGCCCUUGGCUAUGCACCCUCUAACUUUGGUCCCUCCACUUAGACAGUCUAAGCAUAUGAUAGCACUAGGAGGGAGGUUAUGGGCACUUUGGAGAUUGAGUUGUUGAUAGGUCCGACCAUAUUUCCCCAUUUGUUCCAAGUUUUGAGGAUUCUUACAUCCUUUAACCUGUUAUUGGGUCGACCUUGGAUCCAUAGAGCUGGGGUCAUUCCUUCUUUCCUUCAUCAGAAGGUAAAGUUCAUUCAUGAUGGCCAGGUUGUCACUGUGCAGUCUGUCGGAGAUAUGUUUAUUUCUUCUGAACCAGUGCUUCAGAUCAGCCACAGUGAUGACGACCUAUUUCUGACUAGGUUCACAUUCAAUGAGGAGCAGACCCUGGAGAUGGAAGAUUUUUGCCAAGACUUCGUGGCUAUAUCGUUUGACUAGCAUGGUAGCAUAGUGGUACUCGACAUGAUGAAAAACAUGUCUUAUUUACCUAGCAUGGGGUUGGAGCGACGUCAGCACUGGCCCAACGAGUUUAUGGCUAUCCUAGAUCACGAUGUACCGUUCGGACUCGAGUUCUUUCUUACUAAGGUUGAUUAUCGAUAUAUGGCACGAUUGCGCAAGAAGAGGGUGAGGGCCCGAUUGACUGAUACACCCUUUGACUAUCUUGUUUACUCAUACACCAUGAGUUUGGCGGACUACUUUAUGAGGGCAUUGAAGCUACAGAAGCCUUCAGAUGGGAUCAUUGGGGGAUUUAGCACUGUUUAGGAGGCCAAGCUUCAACGUCUUGUCCAUAAGCUAUAGUUGAGUGAUGGAGCUCCAGGCAUUUCGGCGUCUGCAUUGGUCACCCUAUCAUCUUCAGAUCGUAUGAGCCUUAUAAAGCUCUAUUUCCCAGAUGAGAUCAAUGAGCACGGGACCUUUGUUGAGAUCGGAGAUGUAGUGGAUGGAGUUGUUCCACAUGACGAGUACAUUGAUGAGAUGCUCGUGCUGAGUAUGAGCCAGAUCAAUGAGAUAGUUCAGUCUGUUGCUGAUUUGUUUGAGGGCACUAUUGGCCCAGUUAAGGGAGCGUCUGACUUUGUGGAUCCACAUCUUUCAUUUGAUAUUUUAUCAGGAUUUGUCUCCCAUUUUGACGAUGUUCAUGACUCUUCAUUUAUGGAUUUGAGCAUUUUCGAGUAUAUGCUUGUCUUUUGUGAUAUUACUUUAUCCGCACCCUCUUUACCCACAUCACAAUAUUUGAUUUAGAUAAUGAGAUUGUACAGCAUGAUUCAGAUGAUGACUCAUCUUUUGCUUCUGAUUCAGGCCCCAUUUAUCAAAGAGUUUCACAUGUUAUAGGAGAUACUGAGGUUUUUGAUUUCGGUAUAGCAGAUCAGCCUAGGGAGCUGAGGAUUGGAGUGGAUUUAUCUACAGAUGAGAAAGAUAGCCUCAUCCAGCUGUUUAGAUCAUAUUUGGACGUUUUCGCAUGGUCUUAUGAGGACAUGUCAGGCCUUAAUCCAUCUAUCAUCCAACAGCGUUUUCCGUUUUUACCCCAUGUUAGAUCGGUUAAGCAAAAGUUGAGACGAUUACACCCUCCCUAGAGUUUAUAGGUGAAGGAGGAGAUUCAGAAGCAACUCAAUGUAGGAUUUUUAUCAGUGGUCGAGUAUCCCGAGUGGCUGGCCAAUGUCGUCCCUGUUCUAAAAAAAGACGACUAAGUGAAAGUUUAUGUUGAUUUUCGAGAUCUUAACAAGGCUAGUCCUAAGGAUGAUUUUCCUCUCCCACACAUUGACAUGCUAGUUGACAAUACGACAGGCCAUUCGAUGUUGUCCUUUAUGGAUGGUUUUUUUAGGUACAGUUAGAUUCUAAUGGCUCCCGAGGACAUGGAGAAGACGUCCUUCAUUACCGAGUGGGGUACUUAUUGCUAUAGAGUCAUGUCAUUCAGGUUAAAGAAUGCAAGAGCUACCUAUCAGAGAGCAUCGACCACCCUCUUCCAUGACAUGAUGCAUCGGGAUGUCGAGGUUUAUGUAGAGAUCAAAGGCUUCUUGGGUAGACUCCAGUACAUCAGCAAAUUCAUUGCCAGAUUGACAAACAUUUGUGAGCCCAUUUUCUGACUCUUAAGGAAGAGUCAACCUACUGUUUGGGAUGAUAAGUGCCAGUGCGCUUUUGAGAGGAUUAGAGAGUACUUGUUGUCACCUCCAGUCUUGGUGUCUCCUACAUCGGGCCAUCCUUUACUCCUAUAUCUGUCAAUCUCAUAUGUAGCCUUGGGAUGUAUGUUAGCUCAGCUCGAUGAUUCAAGAAAUGAGCAAGUCGUUUAUUAUAUGAGUAAGAGGAUACUAGAUUAUGAGAUGAGAUAUGUCAUGAUUGAACGCUACUAUUUGGCAUUGGUUUGGGCCACUCGCAAACUGAGACAUUACAUGACCAAGUAUCCAGUGCAUUUGAUAUCUUGUCUAGAUCCCUUGAGAUAUUUGUUUGACAAACCCGCUUUGGUCGGUCGCCUCAUUAGAUGGUUGGUACUUCUGAUUGAGUUUGACAUCCAUUAUGUCACUCAAAAGUCCAUCAGAUGGAGCAUUGUUGCAGAUCACCUAGCCUCAUUACCAGUUUCUGAUGGUAGAGCUAUUGAUGAUGAUUUCCCAGAUAAGGAUGUUGCUGUUGUGACCAGUCUGUCAGGUUGACGCAUGUACUUUGAUGGUACAACCAACCAUACUAGAUACAGGAGUGGUGUUUUAUUGAUACCCCAUCAUGGUGAUCACAUCCCUAAAUCUGUUCGUUUGGCAUUCUCGAAUCAACAUCCUGCCACAAAUAAUAUUGUUGAGGAUGAAGCCUGCAUCUUAGGAUUAGAGACAACUCUUGAGCUCGGUAUUAGACAGAUGGAGGUGUUUGGUGACUCCAACCUGAUAUUGAAAUAGAUUUAGGGCGAGUAGAAGACUAGAGAUGUGAAGCUUAGGCCUUACCACACAUACUUGGAGCUAUUAGUUGGGAGAUUUGAUGAUUUGAGAUAUACACAUCUACCUAGAGCACAGAACCAGUUCGUUGAUGCCCUGGCUACUCUAGCUUCCAUGAUUGAUAUUCUUACUGAUGCCAUUAUUCGCUCUUUACUGAUUGAGUCGAGAUUUGUUCUUGCAUAUUGUUGUCUGAUUGACGAGACAGAGUUAGAUGAUGGCUUACCUUGGUACCAUGACAUAUAUCACUUUUUGAGACUUGGAGCCUAUCCUGAGGCCUCCAUGGCCAAGGAUAAGAGAGCAUUGAGACAGUUAGUUGCUCGAUUUGUGGUGUGUGGGGAGACAUUAUACAGACGAUCAGUUGAUGGGAUGUUAUUAUUAUGCUUAGACCACGCAUCUGCAAAUCAAGUGAUGAGAGGGGUUCAUGCGGGAGUCUAUGGACCACAUAUGGGAGGGCAUAUGUUAGCUCAUAAGAUCAUGAGGACUGGCUAUUUCUAGUUGACCAUGGAGACAGAUUGCUGCCAGUUUGUCCAGAGACAUCUCGAGUGUCAGAUAUAUGGAGACCUCAUUCACGUGUCACCCUUAGAGUUACAUGCAUUGACUUCACCAUGGCCAUUUUCAGUAUGGGGUAUAGACAUCAUUGGGAAGAUUUCACCAAAGUCUUCUAAUGGUCAUGAGUUCAUCUUGGUCGCCAUUGAUUACUUCACCAAGUGGGUGGAGGCCGCCUCAUAUACGAGAUUGACAUCAAUUAGGGUUGCUAGUUUCAUCAAAUCACACAUUAUCUAUCGAUAUAGAGUCUCUCAUGAGCUGAUUUCAGAUAGAGGUGUACAUUUCAGGGCAGAGGUUGACACCUUGCUGCAAAGAUAUGGUAUCCAGCAUCAUACGUCAUUUGCAUACAGGUCGCAGACGAACGGGGUAGUAGAGGCCGCGAAUAAGAAUAUUAAGAAAAUCUUGCAAAAGAUGGUUGAGACUUCUCGGGAUUGGUCAGAAAAUCUCCACUUUGCAUUGUGGGCUUAUCGAACUUCUUUUCGCACCUCUACAAGAGCCACACCCUACUCCUUGGUGUAUGGUAUGGAAGCAGUGCAACCAGUUGAGAUUGAGAUGGGUUCAUUGAGGAUAACACUAGAGCAGCAUAUUUCAUAGGUAUAUUGGGCUCAGGUCCGAUUAGACCAGCUUAAUCUCAUAGAUGAGAGAAGAUUGAAGGCAGCAGACCAUGUUCAUGCAUAUUAGAGGAAGAUGGCCCGCACUUUCAAGAAAGAGGUCAAGCCUAGACCAUUACAGAUAGGUGAUUUAGUCUUGAAAGUCAUCAGAGGAUUGAUCAGAGAUCCUAGAGGAAAGUUCAGACCCAGUUGGAGCAAACCUUAUUUCAUUAGAGAGUUGACCCUAGAGGGCGCUGCAUGGUUGAUGGAUUUAAAUGGAAGCCAAUUCUCAGAGCUGACCAACGUGGAUCAACUAAAGAGAUACUAUGCUUGAGACCAUGGUUGCAUGAUGGGUGGCCAUCAUUUCGGUUAGCCAUACACCCUUUUACCAUUUUGAUAUAUAGACCGUUGCUAACCCAUUGAGCCUUGCAUGUGCAUUAUAACUUUUCUUUCUUAUUGCCUUGCUCACUUUUUGCACUGGGAUAAGAGCCCUUUAGUGUAUGUAUGCUCGGUUUAGGAGUUUCAUGAGCCUUGGACCUAUGGGCGCAUUUUUCUCAUUAUCUUUUCCUAACACUGUAUCACUACAUUUCAUCUCAUCUCAUUGGUUGUGUUCUUCAUCUUUUUCUUUGUUAUAUUAACUGCUUAUUCUGCAUCAUCACCUUCCAUCCCGAGUGGUAAUCCUUCUCAGUUCAUUACAUAAGAGGUAGUCAUGUCAUUCCCACUAUCUAUUUCACGGACAUUGAUCUAAGGAUCAUUAGUUUGAGCAGGUCAUCUUCUUAGAGAGAGUUUACGCUACUUUAACAUUUGAGAGUAUGAUUAUCCAUUUUUGACCUCAUCUUUGGAGCCUCUUUGUUUGCGUUUAGAGCAUGCACAUUUGUAUAUAUGUAAAAAAAAAUGAAAAAUAAUAAGCGCAUGCGUGUAGUAUUCUCCAUCAUUGAGCAUGUAUAUUGAUGUUCGAGGGUCAUUUUAUUGAGUAUGUUUUUACUGGAGUUCGUAUGCGAGCUUCCUGAGACCCUCCAUUUUAUGUAUUCAUUUUGUCGUAUAUUUUGAGAGUGAGAUGAGUGACUUUCUCUUAGGAGUUCUGGGUCAUUGGCUUUUCCAUCAUUACGUUCAUUGUUGAUGUGGCUUCCCUUCAUAUUUGAUUUGAGCGGAUCAUCACUACUUUUCAUGUUCUGCAUUUCACCAUUAUCCUCACUUUUGCUUUCGAUUCAUCAUCUUCAUUUUACCAUUUGUUCCUUCCUUACAACGACCCAUUCCAAGUUUGGUACUUCCUUUGCAUCAUCAUUACACAUCUCAGUAUCAGUUCGAUUUUCUGCAUUGCCUCAUUAUUAUCAUUAUAGCCACAUUGGGCAUCCUUAGGUCUAUGGCUCACGAGAUUUUCUAUACAUGUUGCAUUUUAUAUAUGAGGGCAUGGGUUUUCGAUCAUUGGGUAUUUGGGCCUAGUUUCCCUUCAUUUCUAUCACCUUAUCACCCUAGCCUACAUUACGUCCUGUGUUUUAAGACCACCCUGAGGCCAUGGGAUCAGAUUUCGUCUUCGACAACCCCCUCUUUGAUAGGUGCUUGAGAUUUGAUUGAUAUUUGGAUAUCGUCAUGCUUCUUCUUUUAGGAGACACCUCUUUGAUGUUUGGAUCUGAUUUAGCUGUGGAUUUGGAUUACUGGGAUCACAUGUUUGAUGAUGGAUGAUUUGACGUCACCUGAUUUUCUGAUCUAUCAUACGUUCGAGGCCAUACCGGGGCAUAUUCCGUUUCGGAUAAGAUUUACAUAUCUUCAUGGAGUUGCAUGCUCAUCCCCACUUAUGAGAUACACGCCGAGACGAUGACAUGUUUGUUAUCUUAUCAUGAUCCUCUAGUGAAGCCUUUCUUAAGCCAUUCAGUUAGACCCACACUUUUCGAUCUUUAGAUGUCAUCAUACUUCUUCUUCCGGGAGACGGAUUUUGACCUGUGGAUUUGAUUCAAUUGCGGAUUUAGAUUACUGGGAUCACGCAUUUGAUGAUGGAUGCUUCGAGGUCAUUCAAUUUUCUAACCUACCAAAUAUCUGAUUCCAUACUGGGGCAUAUUUCCUUUUCGAUUGAGAUCUGUAGGUCUCCAUGGAUUCGCAUGAUCAUUCCCAGUUACGAGAUACACAAUGUGCUAAGGAUUCGUUUUCAUUUUUUUCUUGAUUCUCCAUUGAAGCCUUCCUUUAGUCAUUCGGUUAAGCUCAUACUUUCUGAUAUUGUCAUGAAUUUUAGAUGGAUUUAUCUCAGGUGUGUAGAUUUCCACAUCAUCAUUUUAGGGGAGUAAAUGUCAGAUCUUUUAUACAUCUCCAUUGAGUUAUUCUCGAGUCAUCAUGACGAACUGGAUGCGCUAGUUGCUAUAUUGGGGCAUAUUUCCACCUUUUAGCUAUAGAGAUGAUUGUUUUAUCACAGGCCUAAUACAGUCUUCAAUACUCGGUCGAUGGAUACUUAUUUGCAUUAAUGGUCACUGUUUCGAUGAUUUUUUAAUUGAAAUGAGCUUUCAGCGGAGUGCGACAUUUGGGUUUUGAUCGUCCCACUAUCCAUGACUCUUCAGUAGAUUGUUAUGUUGAGAUUGUGGUAGUUACCCUAGCGAACUAUUCUCUUGAGACCCCCUAGUGGAUCAUUCAUUUGAGAUGAUGAUGGAUUUCCCCAAUAGAGCAUUUUGAGUUAGAGGAGUUUGACUUAUUGUGACACUUUAUCAGACCUUGUGACCUAGUCAGAUGGGUUUUGAGACUAUAUUUAUAGUCAAUUUGACCAUUCCGACUCGCUAGCGGAGCAUCUUUUGAGACUCAUGGAGUCUCUUUUAGACCCUUCUAGUGGAUUGAGAGUUGUGGCAGCACACUACACUGGGGCAUAUUUCCCUCUCAUCGUCUCCUCGCAUUUUUAGCUCGACGUUCAAAGCCACCAUGUCUUCUCAGUUAUAACGUUCAGAUUCGUCUCUCUCAGCUGGACAUUCAUAGAUAUCAGUUCACAGUUGGGCGUUCAGAGCCACCAUCUCAUUACAGUUUGGCGUUUAGAGCCGUUGUUUCCACUUGGCAUUCAGAGUCGUUGUUUCCACUUGGCAUUCAUAGCCAUUGUUUUAGCUUGGCAUUUAGAGUCACCCCAUCAUCUCCUCAUAGGUCUUAGCGUUCAGAGCCACUACCUCUUUCUUAGUUUCGGCGUUCAGAGCCACCAUCUCUUCUCAAUUUUGGCAUUCAAAGCCACCAUCCCUUCUCAUUUUUGGUGUUUAGAGCUGUUUUUUGUUUAUAGUUCGACAUUCAUAGCCAUCGUACCUCUUUUUCAAUUUGGCAUUCAGAGCUGCAUCUUCAUUUUGGCGUUCAAAGCCACCGAGACUUUUUAGUUUGGCAUUCAGAACCACCAUCUUUUUUUCGAUUUGGCAUUCAGAGCCGCAUCUUCAUUUUGGUGUCUAGAGCCGUUGUUUGCUUCUAGUUCAUCAUUCAUAGCCAUCAUACCUCUUUUUCAGUUUGGUGUUUAGAGCCGCAUAUUCAUUUUGGCGUUUAGAGCCGUUGUUUGUUUCUUGUUUGACAUUCAGAGUCAUCAUCUCUUCUUUCCGUUCGACGUUCAGAGUUGCAUCUUCAUCUCGACAUUCAAAACCAUAUCUUCAGUUUGGCGUUCAAAGCCGUUGUUUGUCUUUGGUUCGACGUCCAGAGCCGUAUUUUCUGUUUGGCGUUCAGAGUCGUUGUUCAUUUUAGUUCGGCAUUCAGAGCCACACCUUCAGUUCAGCGUUUAGAACAGUAUUUUAUGUUUGGCGUCCAGAGUCAUUGUUCAUUUUCAGUUUGGCGUUCAAGGCCGUCGUUUUUUUUUUUUAGUUCGACGUUCAGAGUCAUCAUGUCUUUCUUCUAUUCACUAUUCAGAGUCACAUCUUCAUCUUGGUGUUUAGAGUCACGUUUCCAGUUAGGCUUUUAAACCCGCAUCUUCUGUUUGGCGUUCAGAGCCAUGUCAUCAGUUUAGCAUUUAGAGCCAUUAUUCAUUAUUGACAUUCAGAUCCGUUGUUUCGUUUGGCAUUCAGUGCCACCAUCUUUCUUUAGUUUUGGCGUUCAAAGCCAUUAUGCAUACUCAUUGAGGCAUUUGAUACCACCAUCAUUCUUUAGUUUUGGCGUUUAGAGCCAUUGUGUAUACUCGUUUAGGCUUUUAGAGUCACCAUUCUUUCCUCCAUUUUGGCAUUCAAAGUCAUUUUCCUUACCUUGUUACUUUGUCCUUAUUGCUUGUUCAUCAUGCUCUUCUAGACUUCCCAUUCCACUACACAUGACAUAGUCAUUUGAGUUCGAGACACAUAUUUCGGCCAUGUUGUUGGGCACCCUACACUUAGCAUUCUUAUGUAGUUCACAUAGGGUAGUCCCAUUUGACGCAUUCUUUCUUGUACUCUAGGGUGGUUCGACCGCUACUCAUCUUUGACAUUGACUUUCGAGUCACUUUUGGAGAUGUCUUAGAGGGAGUCUAGGUCAUUGGUACAACUUUAGAGGCGCUUUGAGAUAUACUUUUCUCAUAUGAUUAGAGUUUUUUUGUUCAUCUGUUGGCCUGAGUGAGUUCAUGUUUUUCUAGUGUCCCUUUAGGGGUCUCCUUGAUUCUUCGGUAGAGUUCAUUUCAUUCCACCCACUAUUCACAUUUUAUUUUCACUACAGUGUUCAUAUUCCUUACACUUGUGAGCUUUACCGAAGAAGGGCAUAUUUGUAUACCCCGAUUUUGGGGCUCAUUUGUAGCAGUUUAUCUUUCCAGGUAGAGGGCUCUUAAGGAGCCACGUGUUGCCUCAAGAGAGGCUAUUAAAUAAUCAUAUUAGUGAGUAGAGAAUGCAAUGGGGAAAAGACAAGUGUUGAGGGAAUGUUCUAGGGAGAGCAUAUUCUUUUAGAUAGGGACAAUGAGGCUAUUAGAGAGGGAGAGGUGAUUUGGUUGUUGCUUACAGAGAUGUUUUAGGAUAAAGGGAGAAGGGGGAGAAGGGAAGAGAACCUGAGGAGAAAGAUAGUUAAAACAGAAAGGCAAUGAGCUAUAGGAAGAAAGAAGGUUGCAAGGUUGAUAGCUUGAGGAGCAAACUGGUUUGGGAGGAAGGACUGAGAGAAACAAGUCGGGUAUUCUAGAGAUAGUGGGUAUAAGAGGAUAGCUAGACGUUGCUUGAGGAAGGAAAAGAAAACUUGAAAGAAUUUUUUCUAGGUUCGUUUGUUGUAGCUUCUUGGAUUGCUUUUACUCAUCACUCUGUUUUCUUAUAUCUUUCAUUCUCUCUGGUUGUCUCUGGAUUUCUAAGCAUCGAUCAAUUGUUUGGGCAUGGGUAUGAUGUUGUAUUACACUUUUCUCAUAUUUGUUUAUCUGAAUAUGGCUCACUCUCAUAGUAGGAGUUUGUUGAUGCUUUCAUUUUGAUAUUUGUUAUGAACUAUCUUACUGCACCACUGGUCGACGAACCCUUGGAUUUCAAUAUGAAAAGGGAUCCCAUUUAAUGUUCUACUCACUCUGUUUACUUGGUUCUGGGUAAGUUGUAUCCUGUUUUGCACACUUCUUUACUCCCGGUACCUCAAUUCAUAUCCCCUUUUAUGGCUUAUAUAUCUUCGGAUUUGCUCUAAACGAUUGGUUGUGUGUUUUGAUCUGUGCUUGAGGAGAGAGGGUUGUGUGUUGGCUUACUACUCCAGAUCCGUGACCCCAAUAGAUGAGAUGUAUACAUGUGUUAUAUUAGCUGCUAUUUUGGCUAUUGGGUUUGCCACUAAUGCAUUUGGGAUCCAAGUUCUAUGUAAUUGGUUUUUCCAUGGGUGGACAGGUGAUUUGGAGUUGCCUCAAGUAUAUCCUUCACAAGUUGGCAAGUGCAACACUGAUAGCUCCAAUGGUCAACUACUUUUGGCCUAGUUUUCCUCCAAACUUAUCUAAAGAAGCCUACUACCAAUAGUUUUGACAGGAUCAGUGGGCGCUUCGUGUUGCUCACUACACACCAUGGCUUACCUACUGGUGGAACACUCAAAAGUGGUUUCCUGCUUGUAGUGUUGCAGAACACACCACUGAUAUUAUUUCUCACCAAGACAAAAAGCUCAUGCUUAAGCUUUCAAAGAAAAUGGAAUAUAUGGCACAUGUGAGACAACAAGAAGAAUUUGAGUCUACCCAUCGUGACUUGAUGAUAGGAUUUAGAACUUGGGAAUUUGAUCCCAUGGAUCUGAAGAACCCAUUCCCAAAUAAUGAAGGUUCUGUCCACCUAUGGCAUGGAGAUGAAUAUGCAAUUAUGCUUGUUUCACUGCAACGCUACAUUGCCCAACAACUCCCAUGGAUCAUAUUUGUAGAUAUCCAUCUGCUUGAAUAGCUCAAUGGGUAGAGACCUCUGUUGAAUCUUCCUCUUUAGGUAGAACCUCACAAGCUCCUCAUCUAUGGGAUGAAACCUGAAGCCAUGCAGCAUGACAUCAUCCAUUUUAUCAGCAUCAUUCCUCUCAUCCAUCAUCCCUCUUUUUCCCUGAUUUCCUCAAACUCGACUAGGAAUUAGAAUCAAUGAACUCUCUAAGGUGAUAUGGUAGUGAGCUUUUUGGAAAACUAACACCAACCCAUCAAUGGAAAUUACAAUUCACUUAAUUCAAAGCCACUAUAUGCCUCUUGAUAAGGAGCUUGACUGUGCAGCUUGAGCCGGGUUUUAUGGUGGUUGUAGUGUUUAUCAGCAAAUAUCACGAUGACUUGGUGAUGAGAACAGUUGAAGGAAAGCUUUGUGAAGAACAUCUAGUUACAAGAGAGAAGUAUUCAAAGAAGAGGUUAGAUUCAAGAAAAAACGAAGGAAUGAGUCCCAAGUUUCCUUCCUUGAAGCUUGAAAGUAAAAAUCUAGUGGACGAAUCUUUGAAAGCUAAUGAAAAUGAAGAAAAAAAAUCCAAGAAAGGUGAUGGUGAUAAGGUGAGAGAGGGGAUGGAGAAAGGAUCUAAGAAAAAUGAGGUGGAUUCUCAGAAAGGGUUGUUAAGAGUUGGACUAGACAUGUGCUAAAAAAAAUGGGGAUGUUAUGGGUGCGCUUGAUCUGUAUGAUUUGGCUAUAAGGAAAGGAAUUGAAUUAGGGCAGUAUCACUACAUUGUUCUUUUGUAUCUUUGUUCUUUAGCAGCACUUGGUGUUAUUCGACUUGCAAAAAGUGGAAUUGGUAGCCGGAGUUUGGACAUGUUGAGCCCUUCUAGUGAAGUUUGUGGUGGGGUUUCUGAGGAUUUGGUAGAAUUUGGGGACACGAGCAAGAAGAAUUCUGAAGCAUUUGAAGUAGAAAAAGAUGAUUUGGAUGGUAGUUUCAUUAAAAUGGACAAGUUAUCCUAGGUCUUUAAUUGCUUUAAUCAGUCAAAUAGUCAACUUUUGGAAGGUCAAAAGCAUUUAAGAAAGAGUGCUGAUGACUCCACAAAUAUAAAAGAAGAUAAUGAAAUUUGGGUAAGUGAAGAUUUCAAGAAGUAUGCACUCCGGAGUCGAUUUGAAAUCUAUGAGAAGAUGUGUUUGGAAAGGGUCCCAAUGAAUGAAGCAAACCUUGACAUCGGUGGUGAGAAUGACAAUAUCCAUGGGUAAUGGUGACAUCGCUUUUGAUAUGGUAAAGCAAACGAAACCACUAGGGAUAAAUCCUAGAUUGUGGUCUUAUGGUUCUGUACUUUCUGCUUUCUGUAACAAUGGAGAUAUUAAGAAAGCAUUUGGUGCUGAAGAACGCAUGUUGGAGCAUGGUGUCUAUCCUAAAAAGCCAAGUUAUAUGCCAAGUUUACUAUAACAAAAGCAACCUGAUGAACAGAUGUCUUCCCUUGUAGCCAUGCCAUCGUCCUUGGCUGCACAGAAAUUUCUUCCAAAUGUAGUCUCUGUUGGUCUUUUCCUAGGAUCGAUGCACAUACCAUCUUUUGUUCAACUAGCAAACCAAUAACCUGCACUGCAUUUGCCUACAACUAUCGGCCUUGGUGAAAAAUCACCCCCAUGUCACAAUGCCAAUGAUGCAGGGAGUUGCUAGGUUUCGUUCCCAGAUGGGCACCAAUGUCAAGGGGAUAGAAUGAUCCAUUUUUUUAGGCUGACCGGCGAUAAAUAGCCAAACAAGCAGCUGCCUCUAAGCGAGUACAUCCAGCAUUGCAUUUGCUUGCCAAUUCACUUCCAUCAGCCCAAGUUGUUGGGUUGCUUACAAAUUCAUUCACAAUUGGUGCACUGACUGCACCAUAAUAGACAUUUGCUCAACUUCAUCUGGUAGUGGGUUCUCACUUUUUUGGUAUUUCAUCUUCUGCUCCAUAUGUCAUCCGCCUGCAUCCAAACUUCUACCAAGUCACCUUUGUUGACCCCACAUGUAGACUAUACAAGUCUAUGGUUUGAGUUUGAGGCAAAUUUUUUUCGAAUUUGAUGAUUCUGAUUCAGAGGAAGGUCUCCUAACCGAUUCAUAGGAUGGCAAAGUUGACACAGUAGCACUUCGAGUUUCAUUCCUGCAUGGUUAUCCCUCACCAUCUCUCCCACUUAUGCACAUAUGCAUGGCCACUUUUGGGCCACGUGUCACUCUUCCAUUUCUUCAUCCUUGCUUUUUUAAAAAAUAGUUUCUCAAACCCCAGUUUGCCAAUAAUUUUCCAAAUUCUAGUUUUUCAAAUAAUUUUAAUUCUUCAAAUUUUAAUUCUUAGAAUUUUUAGGUCCCAAAAGUCCCGUUUUUCAAUAUAAAUUUGUUGCCAUUUUCUUUGAUGGGGGAAAUUUUCACAUUUUCUUUUAUUUUUAAAAUGUUUUGAAAUAAACAUGGAUUUAAUUCCGAAUAAUGGAUAUUCAUGGGAUUAAUUCAUGCAAAAAUAAGUCGGGCUUUGGAGGAGGCAAUUUUCACAUUUUCUUUUAUUUUAAAAAUAUUUUAAAAUAAGCAUGAAUUUCUUUUUUUUUUUUUUUAAUUCCAAGUGAUGGAAUUUAUGGAAUUGAUUCAUGCAAAAAUAAAUCAGGCUUUGGUGGGGGUCCAAUUUAUGUGAUUUUCUCAUUGAUUGAUUGCUAUGCAUGAUUGACUUAUUCCACUCUAUGACAUGCAUAUGAUUAUGCUGUGUUUGUUUACUAAUCCUUAUUUUCCAUGAAGAAAAUCAACUCAUCACUCAGGUACACUCUUUCCCUCUCUUGUUCAUUCCGUUAUUAUGUUUUGAUUGAUAUUCAUUCGGUAUCCAUAUUUGAUCAAUCAAUUGUCAUACUUGCUUCAUCUCAUAAGUAGAGACCCGUUUUUAGGGACUUAGAGGGGUGCUACGGUCUUUACCGUACUUUCCUAAUAAGUAACCUAACCCCCGAGCCUAGAUUUGUUUUUUCACAGACCACCUUUUCCAAAAUAAAGAGUCACACUUAAGGUUUUCUUUCUUAUUUUGUUUACCCUUUAAAUAUAAAACAAAAAUAAGUGGCGACUCCAAGUCAUUUUCUAAAAAAUAAAUCAUUUUUAAAUAAAAAAUGAGUUCGUCAUCGAGUGAAAAUGCAUAAGCAAAAAUGCGGGGUCCACAAAAUGGUGACUCCACUAGGGAUCACUAGAAGGAUUUAAUUCCGAAUAAUGGAAAUCCAUGGGAUUAAUUCAUGCAAAAAUUAAUCGGGCUUUGGUGGGGACAAUUUUCACAUUUUCUUUGAUUUUAAAAAUAUUUUAAAAUAAGCAUGAAUUUAUUUUUGUAAUUCCAAGUGAUGGAAUUUACGGAAUUGAUUCAUGCAAAAAUAAAUCAGGCUUUGGUGGGGGCCCAAUAUAUGUGAUUUUCUCAUUGAUUGAUUGCUAUCAUGAUUGACUUAUUCCACUCUAUGACAUGCAUGCGAUUAUGUUGUGUUUGUUUACUAAUUUUUGUUUUCUAUGAAGAAAAUCAGCUCAUCACUCAGAUACACUCUUUGCCUCUCUUGUUCAUUCGGUUAUUUUGUUUUGAUUAAUAUUCAUUCGGUAUCCAUAUUUGAUCAUACUGUUUGCAGGGACUUAGAGGGGUGCUACGGUCUUUAUCGUAUUUUCCCAAUAAGUAAACUGAUCCCCGAGCCUGGAUUUGGUUUUUCAAAUAUCACCUUUUCCAAAAUAAAGAGUCACACUUAUGGUUUUCUUUCUUAUUUUGUUUAUCCUUUAAAAAUAAAACAAAAAUAAGUGGCGACUCCAAGUCAUUUUCUAAAAAAUAAAUUAUUUUUAAAUAAAAAGUGAGUUCACCAUCAAGUGGAAACGCAUGAGCAGAAAUGUAGGGUCCAUAAACAUGUUUGAUUUUUAAAUAAUAAUAAUAAUAAUAAUAAUAAUAAUUAUUAUUAUUAUUAUUGGAAAAUGGUGUAUUUUUUUCCAAAUCACUAAAUUAAAUUAAAUUUUAUUGAGAUUUACAAAAGGAAUAAAAUUUAAAUUAAUGUUUUUCUACUCUUUUUUUUUUUUUCAUAGUCAAUAAAAGUCAUUUUUGGAAAUAUAAAAAAUUCAUAUCCUUGUUCUCAAUUUUCACACUUUAUCUAAGUCUUGGGCUUAAAUGGUGAAUUAGGUCUCAUUUUCACACCAAAACUUAAUUUUUUGGUCCAAAUAGGUCAAAAACACCAUUUUUCCCAUAUUAUAUUGGGAAGCACAGUCUGCUUUAAUUAAAUUUUCUUAGGACAAUGAUUCUUAAGAGUAUGGCUCAAUCUUUGACUGAGAUGUGUUUGUUUACUAAUUUUUGUUUUCCAUGAAGAAAAUCAGUUCAUCACUCAAGUACUCUUUGCCUCUCUUGUUCAUUCGAUUAUUUUGUUUUGAUUGAUAUUCAUUCGGUAUCCAUAUUUGAUUAGACUGUUUGCAAGGACUUAGAGAGGUGUUACGGUCUUUACCGUACUUUCCCAAUAAGUAACCUGAUCCCCGAGCCCGGAUUUGGUUUUUCAAAUACCACCUUUUCCAAAAUAAAGAGUCACACUUAGAGUUUUCUUUUUUAUUUUGUUUACCCUUUAAAAAUAAAACAAAAAUAAGUAGUGACUCCAAGUCAUUUUCUAAAAAAUAAAUUAUUUUUAAAUAAAAAGUGAGUUCGCCAUCAAGUGGAACCGCAUGAGUAGAAAUGUAGGGUCCAUAAAGAUGUUUGAUUUUUAAAUAAUAAUAAUAAUAAUAAUUUUUUUUUUUUUUUUUUUGGAAAAUGGUGUAUUUUUUUCCAAAUCACUAAAUUAAAUUAAAUUUUAUUGAGAUUUUCAAAAGGAAUAAAAUUUAAAUUAAUGUUUUUCUACUCUUUUUUUUUUUUAUAGUCAAUAAAAGUCAUUUUUGGAAAUAUAAAAAAUUCAUAUCCUUGUUCUUAAUUUUCACACUUUAUCUAAGUCUUGGGCUUAAAUGAUGAAUUAGGUCUCAUUUUCACACCAAAACUUAAUUUUUUGGUCCAAAUAGGUCAAAAACACCAUUUUCCCAUUUUAUAUUGGGAAACAUAGUCUGCUUUAAUUAAAUUUUCUUAGGACAACGAUUCUUAAGAGUAUUUCUCAAUCUUUGACUGAGAUGUGUUUGUUUACUAAUCUUUGUUUUCCAUGAAGAAAAUCAGCUCAUCACUCAGAUACACUCUUUGCCUCUCUUGUUCAUUUGAUUAUUUUGUUUUGAUUGAUAUUCAUUCGGUAUCCAUAUUUGAUCAGACUGUUUGCAGGGACUUAGAGGGGCAUUAUGGUCUUUACCGUACUUUCCCAAUAAGUAACCUGAUCCUCGAGCCCGGAUUUGGUUUUUCAAAUACCACCUUGUCCAAAAUAAAGAGUCACACUUAGAGUUUUCUUUUUUAUUUUGUUUACCCUUUAAAAAUAAAACAAAAAUAAGUGGCGACUCCAAGUCAUUUUCUAAAAAAUAACUUAUUUUUAAAUAAAAAGUGAGUUCGCCAUCAAGUGGAAACGCAUGAGCAAAAAUGUAGGGUCCAUAAAGAUGUUUGACUUUUAAAUAAUAAUAAUAAUAAUAAAUUUUUUUUUUGGAAAAUGGUGUAUUUUUUUCCAAAAUCACUAAAUUAAAUUAAAUUUUAUUGAGAUUUACAAAAGGAAUAAAAUUUAAAUUAAUGUUUUUCCACUCUCUUUUUUUUCAUAGUCAAGAAAAGUCAUUUUCGGAAAUAUAAAAAAUUCAUAUCCUUAUUCUCAAUUUUCACACUUUAUUUAAGUCUUGGGUUUAAAUGGUGAAUUAGGUUUCAUUUUCACACCAAAACUUAAGUUUUUGUUCCAAAUAGGUCAAAAACACCAUUUUCCCAUUUUAUAUUGGGAAGCACAGUAUGCUUUAAUUAAAUUUUCUUAGGACAAUGAUUCUUAAGAGUAUGGCUCAAUCUUUGACUGAGCUUGAACAAAAUCCUUCAACUUGCAGCCACACUGAGUUCCUAAUUCCGAUAGGAUUGGCAUGCAUGGAAACAUGAGCAAGUAGUGAAGUAAACCACGUACGGGUCUUCUUCAAUAUGGAGAGAAAUGUUUUAUUAAUUUCUUGGAACCCUUUCCCACAAGUAACUUAAAGGGAGUAGCUAAAAUAUUAGUUCAAUUUUUUUUUUGUCUGAUGCUGUUUUAGAAUAAUGGCCUUUACACCAGGCUAGGGUAAGGAAUAUUUUUGCACUAUCAUUCUUCUGAGGAAGUUCUAUAGAUAUGGUAGGAUGUGGAUGUAUAAAGAUACGUGGGACCUGACUUUCAGCAGAGAUUCAUGCACAAGGAUAGCCUUCUUUGAGUAGAAAGCAAGCAAAUUAAACAAAGUACAGGAAAAUCCAUUUCUUCAUUUUUCUCUUCUGCCAAGCAAGCAUAUAUUCCCAACAAAAACAACCCCUACACACCUCUCUAAAAUAUCUUCAUUCGUCAGUUGAAAUGCAACAAUUUAUUAUAAACUAGAGGCCAAGGAAUCAUCUUUAACUCGUAUCAAACUGUUUGCAGUACCCACUUUAUGGCCACCCCACUUUUGCCCCGUUUUCCUUUUCCCUAUUAUGGCCUCUACUGUCUCAAGCAGCUGCUUUUAUGGCUAUCUCCCAAGUGUAUUUAUGGAGGGUCGCUGAAGCAGACAACAUUCUCAGUUGAAGUUGGUGCUGCUUUGUUGCUAUGGACCCAAGAAAACACUCUACUAGAAUGUUCAAUAUAGUUGUGUUCAUCUUCAUUUCAGUCACCACCCUGAUUAUAAGUACCCCAUGUGGUAAUUAAACAUAUUUUCCUUUCAAUUUUAGUGCAUGUUUAAUUUACUAAUUAAUGUUGAUGAGUAUGUUAUAAGUUUUGUUUCUUCUGGUGCAGAUGCAAGAAGUUCAGCACAAAUGUUGGAGGUUGAAGGUGAGGAGUUUGGUGAAAGUUCAGUCACUGGGGGGAGGAAGAUGCAACAAGUAGCAGUAAACUUGGAGAAUACUGACUCAUACAUAAGCUCUCCAUUUUCUCUACCACCUUUUGAUUCAUUGUCACCACUUCCCUCACCAGAGACAGCCCCUCCCUUUUGUGUUUGCCCACCAUUUUCCCCACAGCCACCUUCCAUACCCACUACUCCACCCAUAUUCCAAGGCCCUCCUACACAUUCCCCAGUUCCAAAUCCUCCUGAAUAUGAGCUGCCUAGUCCCCCCAAGCAUGCGCCAAGCUCACCGAAGCGCGCUCCGAGCCCGCCAGUCUUUAAGCCUCCGGUGGUUCUACCACCACCAUCUACACCGCCUCCACUACAUAAGGCACCCCAGUAUGCUGUUUGGUGUGUCGCAAAGCCGACGGUGCCUGAUCCCAUAAUUCAGGAGGCCAUGGACUAUGCCUGCGGAAAAGGUGCAGACUGUGAAGCAAUUAAGCCCGACGGGUUAUGCUUCCAACCCAAUACAUUGUUUGCGCAUGCUUCAUAUGCUUUCAAUAGUUACUGGCAGAGGACUAAGGUGGCUGGUGGCACCUGCGACUUUGGAGGAACUGCAAUGCUUGUUACAGUUAAUCCAAGUAAGUUCAACUACUGCCUUCAUCUUAUGAGUACUAGCCUUAAGUCCCAACAAUUCCAUUCAAUACUCAUGAUUUUCUUGGGUAGACAUGAUUCUAAGUUGGGUCAGCUAUGGAACCAAAAGGCGUCUCCUCUGUGUCACACCAAAAACACAAGAUCAAUCGAGUAGUCCUAUAUAUAUGUGUCUUAAUUAUUAUUAUUUUUUACUUUAAUCUUAUUUGUUCCUAAUUAACUUAAUUUGGUCUAUAUUUUGUAUCAUUAUUUAAUGGAUCAAAUUUCACUAUACACUUUAAACGACCCAAAUAAAAAGUUAGAAUGAUAUAACAUUUUUUUUCUUUCGACUUUUUUGGAUUAGCAAGUUAAAUUUGAGGGUCCAACUGUAACAUCAGAGAGGUACCCAUCCAAAAGCGUAGUCAGUCAUAUCAUAUCAUAUCAUACUGUAUUUAAGUCUUAUUGUUAUGUAUCUGGAUCUCACUCAAUCAUAUUUAAUCACAUUCUUUAUGUCUUAAUCUCAUUAUUUGUACCUUCAUUUAAUAAUUUAAAUUAUUUUACUUACUUUUAAUGAUAAAAAUUAAGAGUUAAAUUGGGGUGACUUUUUUUUCGAAGCACAAGCCCAGCUCAUACAAUUUUAAGUAUGUAGUUUGAUUUGAGUCUGAUCUUUGAUAUAUAAUGCCUUGUUGCAGGUUUUGAUGAAUGCCAUUUUGUCUACAAUUGAUGAGUAGUGGUGAAGACAAUGCCUGAUUCCAGAGGGUAUAUGAAUAAUGCAAUAAAAUAGGUGUGUGGGUGGUUGUCAUGGUUUUUGCAGCCAAACAUGUAAAAGUAUUUUGAUAGAUGGAUUCAGUUUGGAUUUUGGAAUAUAGGAUCCCUACGCAACAUCUACUUAUUCUCUUGCCUUAAUUUUGUAAUCUAAAUUAUUACAUAAUACAUGAUGUUGAUGGUUAAGCUGGAUCUUAAUACAAUAAUUUAUUUAUUUUUUUGAGAAUUUAUUUGGACCUAUGUUAUAUACCAUCACCUUAUUUUAUCAAUUUUUUUUAAAAUAUAAAAUAAUAUAUUGGUGAAAUUACCCUCUUACCAGUUUGUUCAACGUGCCUACAACUACCCAAAAUUCUAACCUUAUUUUCACUUCAAGUUUAGUUCAUUUUCCUUGGGAAGAGGGCAAAAAGGUCAUUUCACAUAACUUUUAAUAUUAGAAAAUUAAAAACAAAUUCUCCUCGAUUAACCUUUCUAAACCCCAUGAAAUGACCUAAAAUAAUAAAUAAUGCUCUCUUUCACCCAUUUUGGUUAUUAAAAAAGGAAAAAAUAUAUAUUAAAGAAACAAUUCAAUUUUAUUAUGAAAAAUAAUAAAAAUAAAUAUAAUUAAAAUUAAUUAUAAAUUUAUGUAUUAUUAUUUAAUUUUCACAUAAAAAAAAUAAAAAAAAUGAAAUGAAUUUGAGAUAAUAUAUAAAAAUAAUUCUUUUACGUACCAGUAAGUUUGAUAAUUUACAUUUAUUAUUGGAUUUAUAAUUAUAAUUAUUAUGAUUAAUAGUCAAAGGUUCUUUUAAUCAAAUUUUAGUUAUUAUGAAAUAAGAUUAAGGUGCUAAUGAUUUAAAUCAAAUUAAGGUUUUUUAUAACAAUUUGUAAUAUAGUAUUUAUUGGUACACUUAGGCUUAAAAAGUUGAUUUUAUUAAGAAAAUGAAUAAAUCUUUGUUUUAAUUCAAAGUCUUCAAUUAUAAAUGAGUUUACAUAUUCCUUCUCUUAAUAUUUUUAAUUUAUGAUUACACUGCUUCUCUUAUUUAUUUAUUUAUUGUUUAAAAAAAAUUAACACCCAAUUUACGCAUGGGGGUGAUUUACUUAAUCAAAUUAAUUGUUUGUCAUAAUUAUUAUUAUUUUGGGAAAUAAUCAUGUGAUUGUAUAUGCACUCUAUCUUUAUACAAGAAAUUAGAUUUUUCAUAUCAUGAUCCCAUUUUGUGGCAUCUAAAUUCUAUAUUUUUUUAUAUUGUUAUUUAAUAAUUUAGAUUAAUUAGUUAUGCAUGUUAAGAAAUUGAAUUAAAGACGUUGAAUAUGAUAUAAAAAGCCACAAUACAAUAUUUCUUGUCCCACAAAUUUAAUAGAAAUCUUUUCUUUCCAUGAACUUUUUAAGAAAAUACACCCAUUUGCUAAGUUGAUAAUUUAGUCAAAUAGGUGCAUCAUGGGCCCAUUGAACUUAGUCCUUCUACUACAGCUAAUGAUAUUGGUUUUUAGUAGAGGUGCAGAGAAUCAAGCCGAACCAAACAAAAAUGCUCGGCAGGUGGAGAUGGGAUCGAUGUUACCAUUUUUUUCUAAAGACAAUUGAUUGGAGUCUUGCAGAGGGAGACAUAACCAUUUUACUAUGUGUCUCAAGCUUGGCUGUAUCCUACAAUCUUUUAUUUUAGUCAAUUCUUCCAAAUUUCCAAAUCUGAGUGCUGCGAGAUGUGGUUUGAGUUUGAAAACUAGAGGGUCUUUGACCGAUUCAGACCUAGUUUGUCGCAGUGGUACUCAGCCGAUGGCGCAAAAAGGUCAAGAUAUUUCUUUCUUUCUUGUCCUCUUUGCCUCGAGAUUCAGGCUUUCCUUCCUACCAGGGUACGAACCGAGGAAAAGGAGAAUUUGCUGAAGCGUGACUGGGCCUAAAAUAUGUCAAAUGUGGAAGAAAAUGUAAAUAGGAGGUGAUUGAAAGGUAGACAAAUUUUAAGCACAUUUGUUUAAAUCUUUUUUCGUCUACUCUUACUUUUAUUUUUAUUUUUCUUUUAUAAAAAAAAUCAUCAAAGGGAAAAAGAAACCAAAGCAUUGUAAAGGGUAAGGCAGAAAUAAAUUAUGAAAAUAAAUAUGUAAAUUACGAAAAGAUGAUACAAAUUCAAGAAUUUUUAUUAAAUUAAUAUUGAAUUAUCAAUUUUCUUAAAAAUUAAAGUUUUUGAAAAUUUAAAAAAAAUUAAUAAUAAAACAAUUAAAAGUGAAUAAAAAGAAAGAAAAGAAAAAUGAGUAGUUAAACAAUUAAAAAUGAAUAAAGAGAGAGGAUGGUUAGUGUAGAGACAUCAUGUAAUAAAAUCAUAAGAAUGGUGUCCUGCCUACAUAGAUCACAUGCCACAACCAUGCAAGGAUUGAUCACCAUUAUCAUAAUAUGACUUUGUAUAACACAUGAUCCACCCAUCAAUUAUAUAAUGAUCAAAUAAGAUAUCAAAAACAACUCUUCCUUCCAUUUCGUUUUGUAAUUAACCUGAUCGUCGGAGAUGGAUCGACCUAAUAAAUCCAUUCAUUUUUCAUCUUUCCUGUUGAUCCUCAUAAGGAAGACAAGUGGGUUUUAAAGUUUUGCUAAAAGUUAAAUCCCACCAUUCCAAGGUGUAAGCUGGUCAGUCAAAUUUGGCAUCCAAAGCUCAUAUUUACGUUGUAUUCAACUUCACGUAAAGAAAUAUUUCUUACUAAGGAUUGUUCUAGCAUUAAUAAACGUGUUCUUAAAUGAUAAGGGCGAGUGAGUUUAGAGUUUAGAGUUUAGAGUAGGUAAUGGGUAGUGUCGUGCUGUCAUGCAUUAUUAAUCAUCAACUUGAUUGGAUGGUGGUCAAAUUUAUCUGAUUUAACUUUCUUAAAUUGUGAGUGUUGCUUUCUUUAUGUAUUUUUCUGGUAGGCUGGUGUGCUUCUAGUUCUACCCAAUUCAUGUGGUCCUAACUUUUUCCCUCAAAAUUGGCUUUAAUAUCGCGGUGUCAAGUUGUCAACAAAAGGCAACCGAUAACGCGGAAUAUAGUACACAAAAUAAUAGAGACACUUUGGCACUAAACCCUAUACAAGAAAGGACGAACGUAAUUAAUUAGCCUAUUUUAAUUUUUUUUUAAUGUUUGGAUAUAAUGAAUUUUUAUAUUAAUGUAAAAGCUUUCUGAAACUUAUGCUAAAUAAGAUAGUAGUUUUUUUUAAAACGGUUUAUAAAAUUGAGAUGUUAAAAAAUAAUUAUUACUUUAAAUUUAUUUUUAUUUUAAAAAUAUAAAAUGUGAAGUCUAUCUUAAUUAAUGGAAGAUGAUGCUGGAAACUAAUAAACACAAAGUAAGUUUAAUCUGCAAGGAAGAGUACAUUUAGCCCUUUGGUUGUACAGGACUUAUAUAAAUUAAUUAAGUUCCAUUGUUGAAGGAGGAUGGCUCCAAGUGUAGGAAGAGUGUAAAUACUUUAUUUAUUUAUUUAUUUAUUUUUUUGGGGAAGAGUCCUAUUGGGAAUUAUUUUUAUUUUAUUUUACCUUAUUUUAUUCCAUUAGUCUUAUAUUUUUGGAAAGAGUCUUAUUGAGAUUGUGCUAGUGGAGUCUCGUUCCUUUUAUAAGUAGAAUCAUCUUCUAUUUUGAGUUUUAUUCUAAUUACAAGUAGAUUCCCGUUGGGAUUGUGUUAGUGACCUAUAAAAGCAGGUCACACCCAUCACUCUCUAUAUAUGAAUACCAAUUUUUUAGGGAAUUUAAAAAAAAAAAAGUUUUUCAGAGAGUAUUUUCAUACAUCUAUCUGAAGGAAUUUUUUCAAAACCCGAGUUGUACACAUCUCGCUUACAGAGUGCACCUAAGGCGAGAUAUGACUUUUGAAUCUUAGAGGUAGACCACUGGUACCCUAAUGCACUGAGUUAUUCUUCAAGGAUGGUGGAUCUAUUUCAAUGACAAAGUUUGUCACGCCUCAACCAAUAAGUUUUUCUUCUUAUUCAUUUUGUUAUUUGUUUGUGUCUUUUGGACUAGUCUUUUGUUUCCAUACCCUUAAAUCCAAUAAUCUUGAAAUAAAUCCAAAUGGAAGCUUCCCUAGUUCACACCCGUCCUAACACCUCUAAAAUUGAUCCAUUCAACAAGACAUUCUUUAAGAGAUGACAAGAAAGGGUUUUCUCUGCAAUUGAUGUAGUGAACUUGGAACACAUUUUGACAAUUUCAAAACUAGAAGAUAGUUCUCAUCUGUUACCAACCUGGGAAAUAAGAAAUAAAUAAGUUAGGCAUGCUAUUCUGAGUACCCUUUCUAAUGAACUUUUUUAUAUUUAUUGUUAAUUUAAAGUUGCAAAAGAAAUUUGGGAUGCAAUGAAUAAAAAAUAUAUUUUGGAAGAUGCAGAAACUCAGAAAUGUGCCAUAGGGAAUUUUAGAAAUUUCCAAAUGACCGAGGAUAGAGAUGUAUCAUCUCAAAUCCAUGACUACCACUUGUUGAUUAAUGACUUAGCUAUUGAAGGCAUUAAAUUACCCAAAUCUUUUGUGGUUGGUUAUUGAGUAGAGACUCUUCUAGAGUCUUGGAAAUACUAUAAAAAUAACAUGAAACAUAAAAGGAAACAAAUGUCCUUAGAGGAUGUAAUAAUCCAUAUUAGGAUUGAGAAACAAAACCGAAAUAGGGACAAUAUUGAGAAAGCUAAGGAAAUGUCUUCUAAAGCUAAUGUAGUAGAAGAAAAAUCUAAACCUAAAAACAACAGGUCCAGGAAACAAAACUCUAGGACCAAGCCCAUUGCAUCAAACAAGGUCCAGAACUCAACUAUUAAAAAACGAGGUAAUUGCUUUGUCUGUGGCAAGUCUAGACACUAUGCAAUUCAAUGUCACCAUAGGAAGAGAACUGAGAAGUUCAAUUCAAAGGCAAUCUAGCAGUGGCAAAGGUGAUCACAACAGUAAUCUCUUCUGAGGUGAGCAUGGUCACCAAUAUGAAGGACUGGGUGGUAGACUCUAGGGCUACUAAGCACAUCUGUGGGAAUAGAAGUGCAUUUACUUCCUAUACCACUGUAAAUGAAGGAGAGAAACAAGUGUUCAUGGGUGAUUCUAGAUCUACUCUAGUGAUUGGCAAAGGAAAAGUUCUCCUCAAGCUAACCUUUGGAAAAGUGCUUGCCCUCAGUGAUGUUCUUCAUGUGCCAAAUAUCCGUUGGAACUUGAUGUCAGUAUCUCUGCUUGGAAAAGCAGGAGUGAGGAUCUUGUUUGACUCUGAUAAAAUAGUUUUAACCAAGAAUGAUGAAUUUGUGGGAAAGGGCUAUUGUAUUUAGGGUUUAUUUAUGUUGAAUGUUUAUGAUAUUAUCAAUAAUAAUGCAUCUUCUUCUUCUGCUUACAUAGUUGAUUCUUGUGAUAUUUGGCAUGGUAGACUAGGACAUGUGAACUUUUCAUAUAUGAAGAAAAUGGUUGAAUUGAGUUUAAUCCCUAAACUGUCCUUAGAAAACCAUAGAAAAUGUGAAUCUUGUGUAGAAUCUAAAACCACAAAAAAAUCUUGCAAAUCAGUUGAAAGAUAAUCAGAUCUACUAAGUUUAAUACACAGUGACUUAGGAGACCUAAAAAAUACAAUGACUAGAGGUGGUAAACGAUUCUACAUAACUUUCAUAGAUGACUACUCAAGGUAUACAAGGGUAUAUCUUUCGAGAAAUUAAAAAUGAACCAAGAGAUGUUUUCAUCAAGUACAAAAAUGAAGUGGAAAAUCAACUAAAUAAGAAAAUUAAAAGGCUUAGAACUAAUAGGGGAAGAGAGGAUGAGUCCAACCCCUUCAAUUAUUUUUGUGAAGAUCAUGGGAUCAUUCACAAAACUACUCCUCCUUAUUCCCCUGAGUCUAAUGGAGUAGCAGAAAGGAAAAAUAAGACCUUAAAAGAAAUGAUGAAUGCAAUGUUGGUAAGUUCAGGAGCACUCUUGAACUUGUGGGGGGAAGCUAUCCUAUUCGCAUGUCAUAUUCAAAAUAGAAUGCCUUACAAGAAAACUAGUAAAACUCCUUAUCAGAUGUGGAAGGGUUAUGCACCUAAUAUAGCAUACCUGAAAGUAUGGGGGUGUUUAGCUAAAGUUCUUCUCCCUGAACCUAAAAAAGUUCAUUGGCUAUGCUGAGAAUAGUGUGGCAUGUAGGUUUCUUGUUACUAAGUCAUAAAACAGUCUUGUAGAUGUCAAUACUAUAAUAGAAACAAAGAAUGUAGAUUUUUUUGAAAACAUCUUUCCUAUGAUACUAAAUAGUGAACAACAAGUUCAGAAAACAAGUAGAGACGAGUCUAUUGAACCUUCUGAAUUUAAACCUAGAAGGAGUAAAAGAGAUAGGAAAGAAACAAACCUUGGAGAUGGUUUCUACACCUUCCUAAUAGAUGAUGACCCUAGAUUCUACAAAAAAAAGCUAUAACUUCUCCUGAUGCACCAUUUUGGAAGGAGGUCAUUAAUAGUGAAAUCGAAUUAAUCAUGUACAACCAUACAUGGGAGUUAGUAGAUUUACCUCAUGGUGCAAAGAGCAUUGGUUGUAAGUGGAUCUUUAAAAGAAAGUUGAAACAAAAUGGGUCUAUAGAGAAGUAUAAAGCUCGUUUAGUUGCCAAAGACUUUAAAUAAAGAAAAGAUGUAGAUUACUUUGACACAUUUGCCCUUGUGACUAGAAUAGCAUCAAUUAAAGUAUUGAUUGCUCUAGCUUCCAUUCAUAAUUUAGUGAUACACCAAAUAGAUGUCAAGACUACAUUCUUGAAUGGGGAUUUGGAAGAAGAAAUUUAUAUGGAACAACCUAAGGGUUGUGUAGUUCCAAGAAAGGAGAAAAAGGUGUGUAAGUUGGUUAAAUCACUAUAUGGGUUAAAACAAGCUCCCAAACAGUGUCACAACAAGUUUGAUCAUGUGUUAGUAACUAAUGGAUAUUCCAUUAAUGAUGUUGAUAAGUGUAUCUAUAGCAAGUAUGAGGAUAACACAUGUGUAGUCAUAUGUCUUUAUGUUGAUGACAUGUUGAUCUUUGGAACUAGCCUAGAGGUUGUGUGUGGGACCAAGAAAUUCUUAGGUUCUAAGUUUGAUAUUAAAAACCUAGGAGAGGCAGAGGUGAUUUUAAGAAUGAAAAUAACUAAAACACCUAAUGAGUUUAAACUUUCUCAAGAGCACUAUGUUGAAAAGAUCCUAAGGAAGUUUGAACACUUUGAUUGUAAACCAGUGUCAACUCCUUAUGAUCCCAGCUCACAGCUAAAGAAAAAUAGAGAACAUAGUGUUGCCCAAAUAGAGUAUGCUCGGAUCAUAAAGAGCCUAAUGUACUUAAUGAACUGUAUCAAACCUGACAUUGCUUAUGCAGUAGGUAGAUUGAGUCGGUACACCCAAAGUCCUAAUUAGGACCAUUAGAUUGUUGUUCGUAUAGUCCUUAAGUAUUUGAAAGGCACCAUUAACUAUGGUUUGUGCUUUAGUGGACUUCCAAGUGUCCUUGAAGGAUUUAGUGAUGCAAAUUGGAUCUCGAAUUUAGAUGAGAUGAAAUCCACUAGUUGAUAUGUUUUCAUCCUUGGUGGAAGUAUAGUUUCUUGGAAGUCUGCCAAGCAAACUUGCAUUACUCGAUCUACUAUGGAGGCUGAGUUUAUUACCUUAGAGAAAGCAAGUUUUGAGGUUGAAUGGCUUAGAAACCUCUUAGCAGAUAUCCCUUUAUGGAUGAAACCAACCCUGUUUGUGUCUAUGCGUUGUGAUAGCCAAGUUGCAAUUGCUAAUGUUAAGAGUAAAAUAUUUAAUGGGAAGAACAAACAUAUACGUUGAAGGCAUAAUAUUGUACGGCAGUUGCUUGAAACAAGGGUUAUAUCCUAGAAUUUGUGAGGUCGGAGUUGAAUUUGGCCAAUCCUUUGACCAAACCACGAAAUAAGAAACUAGUGGAAGAAACAUCGAGGGGGAUAGGGCUUAUCCCUAUUAUAGAAGUCAAGAGUGGUGGUAACCCAACCUAUUACAAUGGAAAUUUCAUAAAGUAGGUUCAUAUGGGUAAUAACAAAUCACUUGUUGACUUGAGGUGCUUUAUCAACUCUAAUUGUAUGAGAGUUCAUCCUUAUGGUGUAAAUAGAGCGUAUACUGCAUUGAUUAAGGUUGAGUAUUUACUCUUAAUGAAUACCAUAUUCCUUAUGGGUGGUAUGUUUAAAUGCAAAACAUACUUGAUGGAUUCACCUAUAUGAGAGUGGAGGUGGGGCCGCUUCCUAUGAGAACUUAGGCAGGUUCUCUAAAGCUCUCAUGAAUAUCUAGGUAAGGCGCAUGACCUAUUUGUGCCAACCGGUUUUGUACAGCUCGUAGUUUAGUUAAGAAAACCAUGUGAAUAAAAUUCCCUUGAGUUACAUCAAGAAACACCGGUUCAUAGAAAUUUAUUUUCACCGUGUUUUGUGAUUCAAUACUUAUUUGUCCUCAGACUGGUUCAUAGCCUUUGGGCACCAUUAUUGAUGCAUUGGAUUUUUUUUUUCCUCAAAAAAAAAUUGCGUUUACACUUUGUGGGGUAUUUUAUUCUAUGAGUCUUAUAUUUUUUGGAAGAGUCCUAUUGGGAUUGUGAUAAUGGAGUCUCAUUCCUUUUAUAAGUAGAAUCCCCUUCCACUUUGAGUCUUGUUCUGAUUACAAGUCGAUUCUUAUUGGGAUUGUGUUAGUGGCCUAUAAAAGUAGGUCACCCCUUACUUUCUAUAUAUGAAUACCAAUUUUUCAGAGAAUUUUUAAAAAGAGUUUUUCAAAGAGUAUUUUUAUACAUCUAUCUAAAGGAAUUUUUUCAAAACCCGAGUUGUACACAUCUCAUUUACAGAGUGCACCCAAUGCGAGAUCUGACUGUUGAAUCCUAGAAGUAGACCACUGGUACUUUAGUAUACCGAGUUAUUUUUCAAGGAGGGUGGAUCUAUUUCAAGGACAAUGUUUGUUACGCCUCAGGCGAUAAAUUUUUCUUCUUAUUCAUUUUGUUCUUUGUUUGUCUUCUUCUUAUUCAUUUUGUUCUUUGUUUGUCUUUUGGGUUAGUCUUUUGUUUCCAUACCCUUAAAUCCAACACCAAGACCAUACAUAAAUGAAGGGGAAGAGGAAGAGAAAGCAAAACUUUCAUCUGAGAUCUGCAUGUGUCGGGCGGUGGAGGGUGCAUGGUACAUGGUUUGAGCUACAUGCCAUUGCAUGUGGUCCUUGAAGAAAUCAUGUUAACACAACCACAUAAAAUAAUUCAAUUCUAGAAAUGCAUCUGUAACCAGGGAAAUCUAUACUGGCAUCUGUGCAUAAACUUAUGCGAGAAAUAUGGUACCAAGUCUCUGCAGAUUUAUACGUGGCCGACAUCGUGGAUGUCCUGUGAACUAGAUGCGGAUUACUAGUCUAUUCAAGGGAUGGACCUCCCCUACAAAAAAUCUAUGUGAGGUUUGUCGUCUCAUGCAGUUUUAAACGUAGGAAAAUGAAGUUAGUAAGAGAGUCACAUGUGGUUUUUUGGUCCUUUAGCUCAAUCACGGGCUCAACAGUCGCUACAAGUUAAAACAUCCUCAUUCAGAAACCGCGUCUCCCUGAUUCUCGUCCGGAAAAGUUGAAAUUCGAAGCAAAAGUACUUAUCUGCAGCCCAACUUGAAGCUAGAGGCAUUGAAGUUCGAUGCUACAUAUUCAGAGUGAUUUGUGGUGCUCCUUAAGUCAAUUGGGUCAUGACAAAUGAUCCAAUCGACUACGGAGAAAAUAGGGCGAUUUGUGGGGUCAUGUCUCUUCCCCACACAGUUGGAUACACUAUAAAGAAGGCUAGUGACUAACAUGGAUUUUCAUCCACAGGCACUUGCUGGGUUUUGCGUUAUGGGGAAGCAUGGUCUGGCUACCUGGUUGGUCAUCCUUCUCAACUUCGCUACACUUCUCACUUCUCUUGCUUGUUCCUACUGCCCAUCCCCAACUCCUCCUAAACCACCCAAGGUAAAGCACCCCCUUCCGCCUCUUCCACCUAAACAUCCUCCACAUGUCAAGCCACCGCAUACACCUAUGCCACCCAAGCCUCCUGCUGUAAAACCACCAUAUGUACCUAAUCCUCCAGUUGUGGAGCCGCCUUAUGUGCCCAAGCCUCCUGUUCUAAAUCCGCCUCAUGUGCCCAAACCUCCUAUUGUAAGGCCUCCUGUUGUAAAACCACCUUAUGUGCCCAAGCCACCAGUGGUUCAGCCCCCACCGCCACCAGUGGUUCAUCCCCCACCGCCACCAACACCGUGCCCACCACCACCACCCCCCAAGGGGAGGCCCCCACCACAAAAGAAGCCUCCUGUUCUAAAUCCGCCUCAUGUGCCCAAACCUCCUAUUGUAAGGCCUCCUGUUGUAAAACCACCUUAUGUGCCCAAGCCACCAGUGGUUCAGCCCCCACCGCCACCAGUGGUUCAUCCCCCACCGCCACCAACACCGUGCCCACCACCACCACCACCACCCAAGGGGAGGCCCCCACCACAACAGACAUGCCCCAUUGACACUCUGAAGCUAGGUGCAUGUGUGGAUUUGUUGGGAGGGCUUGUGCACAUUGGGAUAGGAAGUAGUGCUAAGGACACAUGCUGUCCAGUGCUGCAAGGGCUUGUGGACUUGGACGCUGCCGUCUGUCUUUGCACCGCCAUCAAAGUCAAGCUUCUUAACGUCAAUAUCAUCAUACCCAUUGCUCUUCAAGUCCUUGUUGGCUGUGGCAAGACUCCACCUUCAGGAUUCCAAUGCCCUGCCUAAGGUAAUCCAUCCUUCAAUUUUGUCAUUAAUUUCACAUAAUUCGCCCAUGUCUUCCCAUAUACGAAGAAGUUGACUAGUACUUUUCCUCGUUAAUGAUUGCAGUGGAUGACGUAGUUUGGAAAGUGGAAGAGAAUAACACGUGACGAGUGAGAGGUUGAAGAAAGCCAUUAUAGUAGAAAAUGUGUCUUUAUGUGUUUUUGUAAUCUCUGUUGUACGCAUAUCAAAGGGUUGUAUCAUAUAUAUGCAUAAAUGCAUCAUCUCAUGCAUGUUUUUCCGUUCUGCAGGUGUUAUCAGUUAAAACUUUAACAUACUUCAUACCUUUGAAGUGGAUGGUUCUUUCUCAAUUUGUCUUGUUUUCCACUUUCAUUAAUCUCAACAAGUCGUCCGAAUUUUCAAUUGCGCCACAGCUUCAAUCAUCAGCUCAGCCUAAUCCCAUUUACCCAACUUAUGUUCUCAUCAUUCCUAUUUGGUGGAUCAGUUUUUUAACUCAAAACAUUUUUUUUUCUUUUUUUCUUUUUUGAGUUUCUUUUAAAUACAACUUAAAGACUAAAUAAUGUUUGAUAGGGUUAAUCAUUAAGCUAUUUGUUUUUUUUUUUUAAUAUUUUAUUUUUAUUAAGUGUUAAAAAAAAAUCGAUCACUUUAAUUCUUUAAUCAUGGUGAUUUACUUUUAACAUUAAAAAAAAACUUAAUUUUUUUAUUUAGUAAAAAAAAUAGGAAAUAAGUAAUAAAUCAAUAAAUUAAAGAGUAAAAAAAAAACAAAUUAUCUAAAAUAUGAAAAUAAGUUAUUUUUAACAAAAACAAAAAAUUAGUUAACCAUAGCUCUGGAAGCAUUCCCAUGUUUUGUUUCGUACAUAGAAAAUUUGAGAGGAAAAAAAAAAAAAAAAGAUUAAGGGGUUAUGCUUGUUUCAAGAAAAGGUUAAGGAAAAUAAAAGAAAAAAGAAAAAAUAUAUAAGGAAACAAAAAUAAGUAAAAUUUAUAAUUUUUUUUUUCAAAUGACCAUAAAAAGGUGAAAAGGAAAGAAAAUUAGAUAGUCAAAUAUAUUUUCUAUUUUUAUUUUUAAAAUUAUAAAUUUUUAUAUAAAGCUAGAUAUAAAUUUAUUUUAUAUCUUUAAAAUUCAGUAAUAACAAGCUUUAAAGACUUACUUUUUCAACAUAAAUAUUAUGAAAUUUUUAUGAUUUCAAAAAAAAAAACCUAACAUGAAGUGCAUCUAAACCAACAUCAGGUAAUGUAUUUUAACAAACUUUUCUUGUCUCUACCCAAGGAUUAUGAAAAUGAAAAUCUUUUAGCUUUUGUUUUCAUGGCAUCCAACAAUAAGUAAAAUAAGUAAAUUAUAUCCUAAGGUUGUGUUUAGUUCCCAAAAAAUUUAAGGAAAAAUAUGAAAAAAAAAAAAAAAAGUAGAAUAGAAGAAAAAGUAAAGAAGAAUAAAAAUAAAUUUAAAUUUAAUAAAUUAUUUGUAUACGUUUGUUAAAACCCAUUUUACUCCUUACUCUUUAUUAUAGUAAAAUUGAAUAAUUUUAAAUUAAUUUUAAUUAUAUUUUAUAUUAUUUUAGAGGUAAAUCAAAUAUGAAAAAACCAUUUUUUUUAACAUUUUUUUUUCUGGUAUUUUUAGGAAAUGAAAUAUAACCUAAAACUAUUUAGAAAAAUUAUAUUUUAAAAUUGUUUUUAAAAUCAUUUUUCAAAUACUGGAUGAAUUUUCAAAAAAUUACUUUAAUCCAAAUUUUAGGUAAUUAAAAAAUAUUUUUUAUUUUGUAGAGAUAAGUAUUCAUUUAAGGUCAAAAGCAAACGGAGUGAUGAUAAAUGUAACGUAGAACUUUCCUUAUAAUAUUCUGAUAAAGACUACUUAUUCUGCAUUUGAUAAGAGAGUGACUGAUGUUACCGUAUCCACUAAAGCUCCGUGAUCUUUUGUACACUUCCCCAUCCACCAAGCAAAGGAUAACGUUUGUCUGGUCGCAUCAGACUAUCGGUGCAUGAAGGCAUUCGUGAUACGGAUUCUAACAAUAUGCGACCCACCGACGGAAAGAGACAGAAAGAGAAGGCUCUGCCUGGUAGUCGAGAAAAUGUGCGAAAAAAGUCAUUUGGUUAUCAAAACCAAAACUAAUCAAAGACACGGAAAAAAAAUUGAGUUGGACAGCUAUUAAAAAAAUAGAGGAUUUCAAUUUUUCCUUAUUUUCCCGGGAGCUAAAUCCAGAGAAAAUUAAGAAUGUUCCACUUUUUCUUUCUUUUCCUUUCCUCAAGUUUCUGGACAGCCAAACAAAUGACUUCUAUACAGCAGAAACACGACAAGCAGCACUGAUUGACAGAUAAAAAGAGACAAGGGUGAAAGGAAAUUUUCUAGGGAAAGUAUCUGCGCAAGAAUAUGUUGUUAUGUGCUGUCACAAGAUAUUUAAAAGUAUUGGAGAACUAUGUGAGUCGUUGCCUUAUUUAGGUACUGGUGUAUAUUUGGCAAGAAUAUAUUUAGGUACUGGUGUAUAUUUGGCAAGAAUAUAUUUAGGCUGAUUUAGUGUGAUUACGAUUGUAAUAUGUGAUCCUUGUAAUUC
rnacentral:lncRNA from 1 species